rnacentral:lncRNA from 1 species
UUUUUGUUAACAAAUAGGGGUCUAAGUGUCUUUUUUAAAACAUUAAGGGGUUUUGUAUCUCUUACCUAAAUGUUGGGGGUGUCUGUGUCCUUUUCCCUAAAAUGUAUGUAUGCCAAUUUAUUUCAUGCAAUUGAUAUUUUAAGUUUUUUCAAUAUAAUUAAGAGAUAACAGUUUACUUUUUUUUAUAGCACCAUGACCCUCUUCACAACGGAGGAUAGUAAGAAAAAAUGGAAUUAUAAUUCUAAGAUGAGAAUUGUGAAGGUAUAAAAAAAGUAACCCUACAAAAACUAUAUGUGCCUAUCGAUUACAUAACUAAAAUGGAUGAGAUUUUGUAAGUUUUUUUUUGUGUGGCAUGAACAGGCUCCAAAACAAAAUAUCAUAAAAUUGCAGUGUGGCUAUUAUGUGUUAAGGUGCAUGAAGGUAAUAAUAGCAUAUGUUAGUUUAUUAAUGAACAAUGUAAGUUGAUGAUGACAUUUCUUAACUUUUUUUUAUUCCAUAUACAUGACAUUAUUUUUGAAGUUUGACCUCUUAAUAAUCUUGUGAUUAACAGGUUAAUGGAAAGAAAGUACACACUCAUAACGAAUUAAAUGAGGUUCGUUUGGAGUGGGCUAACCAUUUCUCUGACAUCCUUCUUGCAUCAGCAAAAUGGUUAGUAUGAGUAUGAAACUAUAAAUAUUAGUUGUAAAAAUUUAUUGAAAUUAAAGUUAUAGUGUCAAAUUAUAAUGGUUAUUGUUAACGAUUGUAGUGUGCAUGUUUUGCAUUCGAUAACAUUGGGUAUUUUGAUUGAUUCUGAAUAGAUUGGUUUGCUAGGUUUGGGUUGGAGUGUUGUUAUGUAUGUGGCUAGAAUACCAGUGGUGUGGAAAGAUGCUGAAUUGGAAGAUGUUGGGUUGCUGCUGAGUGUGUGUUGGGAGAGUUGUUGGGUAAGUGGCUAUUGGAAUAUUGCCGUUAGAAGAUGUAUUACUGUUGGAGGUUUUGUUGGCUUGGUGGUUGGAAUUUGAGUUGCUUUUCUUGUAGUUUAAUUGGAUGAAUGUGUUUUUUUUUUUUUUUUUAAUUUGGGAUGUUGAUUAUAUAUGUAUUGGUAGUGAUGACAAUAUUAGAUACUAGAUGUAUUUAUUUUGAAAUUAACUUAUUGGAAUGAAUGAAUGUUAAUUAAUAUUAAUUGUUUUUAGUUUUUUUCAUGAUGCUCAUUUUUAUUAAUUAAUUAAAUUUGUAAACAUGAAUACAAAAAUUAAUUAUAAUCGUAAUUUUUUUAAAAAAAAUUAAUUUUAUGAUGGGAAAUUCCCAUCAUAAAGUCUGUCAUAACAAUUUCCUGCCAAAAAAUGAAUAAUAAAUUUACAAAUGAUAACAUAAUUUCCCGCCAAACCUUAAUAAUAAAUUUACCAAUGACAAUAAAAUUUCCCACCAAAAUUUAAAAAUUUGGCUUGAAAUUUUAAAUAAAUUCAAAUUUUAAUUUAAUAAUAUUUUCACAUUAAAAUAUUGCGUGACGGAUAUAUGACUGUAAAAUACCAUCGUUAAUUCAUGACGGCAAAUAUUCUGUCAUAAAUUAAUGACAGUGACAUAGAUGACAUAUGAAUUGUCUGUCAUGAACCCUCUUUUAUAACAGUUAUUGUCCGUCGUCUAUUGCAUGUUUUCUUGUAGUGACCCAAAAAAUAUGGUUUACGAAUUUAAGAAAUCCAUCUACAGACUUAAGUAAGCAUCUUGACAAUGGUAUUUCAAGUUUCAUCAAGUGAUCAUCUUAUUUGGUUUUGAGGCGAGUUUGGUCGAAGAUUGCAUAUAUCAUAAGCCCUAUAAGAUUAGCAUAUUUUUCUAGUUUUAUAUGUCAACGACAUUUUGCUUGUCGGCAACGAUAUAGGCUUAUUGCACAACACCAAGAGAUUUCUAGUUAAGAAUUUUGUGAAUGUAUUCUUGCAAAUUCUCACCCUAUUAAAGAUCUCAUGACACCCAAAAGGGAAAAAAGUUAGAAAAAAGGUACUGCUAUUUACAGUUAUUAUAUUUUCGAUACUCUAAUUCUAAUAAAAUUUUAUAUCACUAAAAUAUAAUAUAAUUUACUAUUAAGAACAUUAAUAUAUUUUAAGAAAAAUUUAAUACCCUUAAAACUCAUUUAUACAUAUUAUUGCAGGUAAAAGCAUUAAAUAUCAGGUUUUUUCCUUGUCAUUAUUGAAUUUAAUCAAUUGUAAAAACAAAAUAUUUAGGGUCCAUUUAGGAUUUCUUUUGGGAGGUUCAAAAGUGAUUUUGAAAAGGUAAAUUUUAAUUUUCGUAUUUGGUAAAUUUUUUUAGAAAUUACUUUUGGCAAAAUCGCCCUAUCCUACAACAAAUUUGGAACAUAAAAAAAGAGUAACUUUUCAAAAUCUGAUUUUGAGAGUCACUUUUAUACUCAAAAUAAUUGCAUAUAUAUCCUCAUAUAUAUUAUUAAAAUCCACAAUUAUUCUUAUUAAUGAGAAAAUAAAAUCAUUAACUUUAAAGAGAUUAUUAUUAAUACUAAUUAUAUUGAGAUAACAAAAUAAAAAAUAAGAUAAAUAAUAUAAAGUAUUUAUUUUCGUUAUUAAUUAUCUUAUAUACACAAUUAAAAAUAUUGUGUGUGUGUGUUUAUAAAUGUGUAAGUAAAUUUUAUUCAACGUUGUGUUUAAUUCAAUCAUUUACAUUCUUACAAUUGUUCGACAGUAAGCUUUGCCGAACAUGUACAACUGCUUUUAAAACUUAUAGAUUUUUCAAAAAUAAAUUUUAUUAAAUAUUUAACUAAUUCUCUUCAUAACUGAUUAUUUCUACAGCACAGCUAAUAGUAAUUAUUUUAGAAGCCACAGUAUUACCAAACUGGCCUUAAAUUCUACGUGAUCUAGGAAGUCAUCAAGCAGGACACAUACUCUUCUCUUCAAUGGAACAAAUUGCACCAUUUAUAUAGAAGAACAUCAAAUACGAAGAAAAGUUGAGUCAAUCGAUUAUAACAUUCUUGGGCAUUAUGUUUUAUGACUUAGAGAAUGAUGAAAUAAUUUGCGCAGUACAAGAAAACAGGUAAUAGAUGACGGGAAAUAACUAUCAUAAAAAGGGGUGAAUGACAGACAGUUCAUUCGUCAUCUAUGUCACUGUCAUUAAUUUAUGACAUAAUAUUUUCCGUCAUGCAUUCAUGAUGAUAUUUUACGAUCAUAUAUCCGUCACACAAUAUUUUAAUGUGAAAAAAUAAUUAAAUUAAAAUUUAAAAUUAUUCAAAUUUUCGCGCCUUUUUUUAAGUUUUUUUAGCGGGAAAUUUAAUUAUCAUUUGUAAAUUUAUUUUUCAAUUUUGGCGGAAACUUAUUUAUGACAGAAUGUGUGAUGGGUANNNNNNNNNNNNNNNNNNNNNNNNNNNNNNNNNNNNNNNNNNNNNNNNNNNNNNNNNNNNNNNNNNNNNNNNNNNNNNNNNNNNNNNNNNNNNNNNNNNNAAUUUAUUGAUGAAUUCCUGUUUACAAAUUUAAUUAAUUAAUAAAAUGGAUAUCAUAAAAAAAUAAAAACAAUUGAUAUUAAUUAACAUCCAUUCAAUUUAACAAAUUAAUUUUGAAAGAAAUACAUAUAUUAUCCAAUGUGAUCACCACCAAUACAUAAUAAAACAUCUCAAAUUGGAAAAACCAUCCUAAAGAAUAAAAUAAUAGUUAAAUUCCAAUCAAGCUCCAAGAAAAUCAAUUAAAAUUUCAGCCACCAAGCCAAGUUACCCAAUAAAAUUUCCAAAAAUUAAUGCAAGUAUUCCAACGGCAAGAUUUUGAGCAAAACUUCCAGUAGCAAUACCAUCUUCCAACAGCACUCUAAUUCUAGCUACAUACCCAGGAACACUCCAACUCAUAUGCAGCAACUCACCAUCUUCCAAUAGCACUCUAAUUCCGACAUAUAUCCAGUAGCAUUCCAACCCAAAGAAGCAAACCAAUCUAUGCAGAAUCAAUCAAAAAUCUGCAGGGGCUGUCUUGCUAUUGUUCUGAAGUGAAAAAAGCUCCUGUAAAUUACUAGGGUUGUUUUCACUGUAGAGAAGCAGCAAAACAGUCAAUGUAAACUUCCAACGGCUAUUUUGAUAGCAGAACUAUAGCAAAACAUCUAAAGUUUGCACUAAGGUCUCAAGUGAUCCUUUCAGAUGAAUUAGAAAGGAAAAUAUUAUUACCUGUGUUAGACACCAUUGUUGAAGUCAUAGCAAAUAGCCUGCAAAUAUAAUAACAACAUUUACAUUAGUUUAUGAAACUACUGUUAUUAUUUUUUUACAAGGAUAUGUAAAUGAAUAAUAAGAGUAUUUUAAGUUACAUAUAUACUGCACCUUGAGAGACCAGCCAUUGAUGUGCCAUUGUAGCUUUUGAAAAUAAUAUAGUAUACACAAAGUGAAUUUGUAGAAGCUAGUUAUACAUUUAUUAAACAAAUAAACUUGAAAAAAGAAUUAGAUGACCAAAUUAUAAGUGUAAGCAUUAUAAUAUAAUUACCUUUAAUAUUUUUGGAGCAUUUGUUGCAGAAACCAUAGCUAUGAGAAGAAAUCGUGUCAUCAACGUCUGAAAAACAAUGUAAUUUUCAGUCCCAUAUAUGAUUAAUAUACACCAUUAAUAGUCUAGUUUUGGGCAUUAAAAGGAUCUAAAUUGAUAUAUGUAAAGGUUUACCAAAUAAAAGGAACAAUUUCUUUUGUCAUGGGAGCAAGUCAUUUGCCAUUUUUAAGAAUUUUAAAAAUCUUAAUUUAAAACUAGUAAAAUGAAGGCUCAAUGUAGUUGGAGGACAAUUGUUAAAUGAUAAAAAACUACUUAUCUUCUACCCACUGAAAGAGAGUAGCAAUUGAAUCUUAAAUAAAAAUAGUAAAAGUUCAAAGAGAAUUUUAUUUCUAUACAAAAUGGUUGCCAAACAAAUUGUGCUGCAGAGCACAUACCUUGAAGCCACAACAGUACAUGCAUUUAUGAUCAAGUCUUGCUUUAAAGUUUGGAUAGAAGCAUAUGUUACAAUAGAUGCAGAAAUUGUGCCAACACUAUCAACCUCUGAAAGGAUUAGGUUCAAGUUAGCAAAAAGAGAAUCAUGAAUUUCAUAUUCCUGUUGAAUACAUGUGUGCCAAUGUCAAUGCCAUUUGCAUCUAGGGGCAUUGCAUAGCUUCACACAUGCUAGCAAUGCCCACUUAAAUGUAGGCUAUUCUGAAUCUACCCAACAAUAGCAUUUUGGUAUAGAUCAUAGCAUGAAUAUGAAUUCUAUGUUCUGUAAAAGUUAACAAUUAAAGGCCUACAAGUUAUUAAGCACGGUUUCCUUAAGGAUCUAAUGUAUGAUAAAUAUGUUAGUCUUUUAUCAAAUUUCUUAUUAAUGUGAUUCUUAAAGUUCCAUAAAGCAUUAGAGAAAGCGUAGCCAAAAAACAACCAUGGCAAUUAACUAAUAUUUGGAACAUAAUACAAAAAGAAAAUAGAAAUUACCAACACAAAUAAUAAGGAUAAAAUACUAACCUAAAGAUGUGUCUUUUCCUAGCCAUAUUAUAUCUAGGUGGAGGUCUUUGUAAGUACUAUGAUACCUAACCCAAGGGAUCCUUUCUGGAAAUCUGAUCAGUUGUAUUAACCCAUCAAACUUAAGACCAACCAAUGAACAUAAAUAGAACUCAGUUUAUAAGCAUAUCUAGCUAAAGCACAAAUAUGCUAUUGCCAAAGGUUAGAACAAUAACCAAUACACCCUUCUGAAGAGCUUGCUCUGGUAGUACCAAAAUCGGAACACAAAAGUACACUUGCAAUGUGUAAAUUAUAGUUGCACAUCAAAAGCUCAAUCAGCACAACAAAAUUUACAUAGGCAAGCAAACCUUUUUAACUCAACAAUGAUGCACACUUCAAAACUUAAUAUUUUGCGACCUACACUCGUUAAAAGUUUAGUAAUUCACAAAUUGCAGUUUAAAAAAAAGUUAAAUGGCCUGCCGAGGAUCAAUCAAACUAAUUGAAAACAAAACCAUCUUAACAUAAAUCCGAUUUUUUACAUAUGUACAUAUUCUUUAAAUACAAUUGAUUGCAAAGAGUGUAAGAACUGACCUGAAAGAGCACAGAUGCUCAUAUAGAUAAAUAAACAUUGCAAUAUUUAAGUGCUUUAACAAUAAUUUAAUUUAAUACUAAACACAAACAAAAUCAAUUGAGAACUGGCCUGAAAGUGCAUUAGACAUAUCAAAGAGGAACAAUCUAGUUAGAUACUUCUCUAAUGCAGUUGAGGCUUCAAUAAUACAAACAUUCUUGAUACUGAAAUGACAUCUAAAGGAACAUGGCUAUCGAAACCAGAGCAGUCUACAAGAUUACCAAUUCUAGUUGUACUCAAAGAAACUGGACUCCUAAAAAUAGCAAAUUUUGACAAAAAUAAUUUUAGUAUCUAAAUUUUCUUUUUUUAAAAAAAACUAAUAAAAGGAAAGGUGAAACUGAUUUAUUAAUCUUAUCUUUAUCAUUCAAGGUAAACAGUGUAACUCCAUAUGUAGCCCAUAACCAGCCUAAUAAUGAAUGCAGCAAAUGAAAUGAAUGUUAAAACACUAAACUAAAAAGAACUUCAGUAACUAGAAACCUAAAUAAAAGUGAACCAAUAAGAACAGAGUGUAAUUCUCAGCCCAUAGGAAGGGAAACUCUAUCAACUAUGAAAUAUAGGGACCAAUGUAGGAGGCAGACGUUCAUUUUUCUCAAUUAUCUGAUCCUCUUCUUCAAUUGCCCCAAAGACAUUGGCUCUGAGUUCAGCCUAGCAAACAAACUGAUUUGAGUCGGUUACAAUGGCAUAAAAAUUGAAUUAAAAGGAAAGACUUUACUAUAAUUAAAAUAUUCAUCGAAUAUUAAGAAAACACCAAAAAUAAAAUUUUGGGCAAAACCCAUCAAUCCAGUCAGAGUUAUGACCUUCCAGAUAACAUCAAUCAGCCAUAAAUCUAUUUAACUUUAUCUUUAAACCCUAAUUUCUCUUCAAUUUCCUAUUAAAGAAAUUUAACCACACAAUAUAGAUGAGAUCUAUAAAAUGCAAAAAAAAAAAAAAAAUGCAUUGCACGAGAUUAGACAUAAAACAAGAGCUAAACUAAUUUCAAAUUUCUUCUCUUUUUUCUUCAGCAAUUCUUCGCGACAACUAUGGGGAAAUGAAGAAGACGAAGUGGUAGUUGGGUAUACUCAUACCCGGAUCUUAGAGAGGACGCCUUUCUUCUCUAGCAUUCUGGUGACUAGGGUUUUGAGGUCCAUAUUUCUCGACUGUAAUCCUUUAUUUUUGAAUAAGCUUGCUCUCUGUCUCUCUUUCACCGUUGCUUCUGCUGUUUGUGUGCGAGAAAUUAAGACUUUGAUAGAGGAGAAACCAAUAGAGUAGUACUAGGAGGGAAGAAAUGUCCAACAUCCUUUUUUUUUUCAAUAAUGGCGUUUGAGAUUGCGGCAAGAUGAGGGAAGUCAGUAUCGGGAGAAGUCGAGGGUUUUCAGUUUCGGUCUUCGUCUUUCAGGGAUUUUCCGUGGUAUACCCCAAAAAUAGGGUAUUUAUCUAAAAAUACUCCAUAUUCAAAAAUUCCUCUUAUAUGCCUUUUUCUAAUAUGCAGUUACGAAAUUACCCUAAUAAAAAACUUAAAUUAACCAAACUAUCACAACUAAUCAUGUAACAAAACCCCUAAUUCUCUCUCAUGAGCAGCGUCUCCUUCAGCUCGUUCUUCUGGAUUUCUCCUCCUCCAUUUUACCAAUCCCUGCAAUUUUACAACAAUUCUUCUACACUCUCACCGAAAUGCAGCAAAACAAGUAAAACAACGCCGCUUCUGUGCAAACUAGUAGCUGCAAUUCCCCCACUCUCCUUCAGCGUGUCCUCCUCCAUUUUACAAAUCCCUGCUAUUUUACAACAACUCUUCUACACGCUCGUCGAAACACGGAAAAACAAGUAAAACGAGAAAUUGAUUGUAACCCUUGUGCUUUGAAGGUAAUUUAUCAAUUUAAUAUAUGUGGAAAUGUUAGGUGGGACUAGGAUUUUGCUUUCCAUCCAUGAGGAGUUGUAUCUUCAUCUUGAAAAUGAUUGUUCUGGCAUACUCCGGAAUUCAGGAGUAGCUUUUCAAUAGCUCAUCUCUAAACAAAUUUUUAACAUUACAAAAGAGAUAUUUUACAUUUUCCAUGAACUUCUAGACUAGGAGUUGUCUUGAAAUUAGUUCAUGAAGCUGUGAUAAAUCAUUGAACAAAUUCAUUGCAUUUUAUUUGAUUAAUAAUGUUAGAUUAGGAAAGAGAAAAAGAUGAGUAACUUGUGGUUUACAAAUUUGUCACAAGGUGAUGAGAACUAUGGAAAAACUGGGAACCACUCCCCCCCCCCCCCCCCAAAAAAAGAAAGAUUGUGACUUCUCCAGUGAUGCAUCUCAAUCUUACUACCUGUAUGAUUUAACCGUAUUUAUGAAUGAAUAUCUAUGAUUGCUUAUGAUAUCUGAAGUUCUAACUGAAAGGGAUUGGAAAAUUGAGGAAACAGUUUGUGCUAACUAACAUAGUGGAUUUUUAAUUUCUAACUAAGACAGGGUAUAAUUACUUUUUAAAAGAAGGGGGGUGGAGAUACUAAUGUACUUCUGGAGACCAAUCACGUUAUGAUUCUUAUUUGUUAAUAUGGUUCGAUAUUUAAGUAAAGAAGUGACCUUUUGUUAUUGUUAGAUGAGUUUGUUAUCAAAUUGUGUAUUCUGCUUGUUCUUAUUUGAUUUUCACUGAUACGGUUUUAACAUCCAAAUUCACCAAUGGACUCAUUACGCAAAUGAAGAAAGAAUGUGAUUUUGCAAACUUAUGUGACUAUUUAUUCUCUUUGUAGAGCUUAAGUCGCGUGCUUCUAGUUAUGGUUCUCUGCUUUCUAAUAUUUAUAGUUACCCCUUUCUAUUCUUUUUCUCUUUGAUGGUAUGAGAAGAGUCAAAACUUUUAUUAGCUGCAGAAUUUUUUAUGACGUUGUCUGCAAAUGCCACUGUAGUCUCAAAGCAAGCAGGUUGAGGAGGUUACAUGUAAUCCUGGAUUUUAUAGAACUUCCAAUUAGUUGUUCCUUGAGGCUCACUAGAGGUACCAUACAACUCUUGGUUUGUUUAUCAUGUGUAAGAGCAAUAUAUUUGGUUCAUUCUUAUUCAAUUUUUUUAGUGGUGAUUGUGGAGCAUUUUUGUUGCGGUACUUGGAGGUCCUAGCCCAUGGACUUGAUGUCAAUUCAUAUUGCCAACAAGAUCAUGUUUCACAAUUUCGAAAAACCUUGGCUGUAAAAUUAUUUGGGCUUAGGUCAUGGAAAAAAACUUUGUAGUGUCAUUUUUUUGGACUAUGAGAUGUAAUAGUUAUGAUGAGGAUGUUAUUGAUAUUUGAUGUCAUUAAAGAUAACUUGACAGCAUUAAUAUAUUUUAUUUCUUUGUUAAUUAUAUUAAUGAUAGAUAAGAUAGUUUGUACAAUCUAUGUGAUAUAACAUGAUUGCCAUAUAUGCACAGGGAAUACACUGUAAGAAAAUACACGACUGCAGUCGGGUAUUUGCACAGAUACACGACUGCAGUCGGGUAUUGACAAAUAAACAUGACAAGCUCUCUGUGACAAAAUACACGACUGCAAUCGGGUAUUUGCACAGAUACACAACUGUAGUUGGGUAUUUAGAAAUAUUGCAGUCGGAUAUUUGCACAGAUACACAACUGCAGUUGGGUAUUUAGAAAUAAACAUGACAAGCUCUCUAUGACAAAAUACACGACUGCAGUCGGGUAUUUUCACAGAUACACGACUGUAGUCAGGUAUUUAGAAAUAAACAUGACAAGCUCUAUGUGACAAAAUACACGACUGCAGUCAGGUAUUUGCACAGAUACACGACUGUAGUCGAGUAUUUAGAAAUAAACAUGACCAGUUCUGUAAUAGCCAUAUUACACGAUUGUACUCAGGUAUGUGUACAGAAGAAAAACUCUUUUCAAUCAUUCAUUAUAUUGAUGACACAAUCAAUAUAGACUUUAACAUAUCAAACUUCAAAUAAAUGAAACUAACUGUAGUCCGGUUGCCUAUCAAAUAACAUAAAUCCAAUACGUAUUGAAAUCGUAAAUAAGUCGUAAUACAAUAGAAGUUGUUUAACAUUCAUCAUAAAUUUUAUAAGCCUCUGGUCGCCUCCCUUCAAUACUUAUUCUUAGAAAGCUACACAAAUACGUUUAUUCAUCUGCGAAAUAAAAAAGGUAGAAAUUUAUCACUAAAUAUGAAAGAUAUUCAAAAAAUUAAAACAACAAAAAAUAACAAGUAUAUAAGGUUCAUAGUAGUACAUGUGCUUGUUUAUGUUUCAUUUGGUCUAACUAUGGGCUCAUUGUUAGACAGUGAGAUUGGUGCACUGCAAGUUAGUCGAUUAUGUCUUCGAGAACCACACCUACCACACUUACAGCGCAACUUCUCUUCGCCUUGUGAUGUUAUCCUAAUUUGUUGUGGUCGACCUUUUUUCCGCUUUUCCAUAGGGGGCAAAACCUCAUUACUGUAAUAAUACAACAGUUGAUUAUACAACAAAUACAAAAAUAAAAUCAAACAAGAUUUAUAACGAAGUGUGGAUAUGUCUGCCUAUUUACACGACUAACGUCGUGUAAUUGAUAGUUUACACGACAAUAGUUGUGUAACUUGCUAAAAUACACAACUAUAGUUUUGUAAACAAUUAGAUGAUAUAUUUAAUAAAAUAUAAUUGUAAUCUUUAUACUAACAGAAUGCUAGGUGUCAUAACAACUACUAUAUCUUUCAAACUUGCACGGUUGUUGUCGUGUAAAUUCAUAAAUACAUGACAGAAGUGGUGUAAGUUGCAAAAAUACAUGACUUAGUAAAUAAUCAGAGGACAUAUUUCUUCUUAAAAAAAUGUUGGGAUCUCAUAACAAUUGGAACAUUUUACAUAUAUACACAAUUAUAGUAUGUAAGUUUAUACGUACACGCUAGUAGUCAUGUAACUUAUUAACACACACGAUUAUAGUCCAGUAAUAGUAAAAGGAUAUAUAUAGUGAAAAAAAUAUAUUUUUUGAACCAAUAGAAUGAUAAGGUGUUAUAAUAAUUGAAAUUUUUUGCACAUUUUUACGACUAUAGUCGUGUAAAUACAUACAUACAUGACUGUUGUCGUGUAUGUCGGGUGCAGAAAAAAAAUUGACAACAACUUCAGGUUUUAACGAAUGUAGUUAUAAAAUCCAUCAAAUAAUAGUCAUAUGAUGCAAAUGUAAUGAAAAUAUGAGUUGCUUUAGUGUUUAUCACAAACCAAACAAAACCCUAAAAAUAAUAUAAUGUCAACAAAUUGAAUAAAUAGCCCAAAAUUUAAAAAAAAAAAGUUUCAAAUACCUUAUUCAUGGGAUGAAUAAUACACCCAGCUGCAAACAAAAAUCUCAGUACAUUAGCUAUUUGUGAGUGAUUUUGAGUGUGGUGUGAGUUUUUGUUGUGUGGAGUAAACAAAAAGAGUGAGAAGUAAAGAGUGUUGUGAGUUGUGUGUGUUUUAUAUUUUUCUUUAGGGAUAUUUUAGACAAUGUACCACAUAAAAAGGCAUAGUUAAAUAAUUUUCAAGCAUGGGGUAUAUUUAACUAAAUACCCUACUUUUAAGGCAUAUUUAAUAAAAAACCCCUUUGUCUUUUGUGUGUAUGUUGUGAAAAAUACUUAGACAAACAUACUUUUAAAAUUUAUUUUAGAAUUAAAAAUUUUAAAAAUUUAAUAUUUUAAAUUUAUGAUCAAAACGUCGUCGUUCCAACUUAUGCGAAACGAUGACGUUUCUUGAUUCAUAUAACAUUUUGCUUAAAAAAAAACUCAAAAUUUUGGUCAAAAUAGCGCCAAAGUAAAGUCAACAUUAAAAAUAGUGUAAUUGUUCACAUAUUAAGUAAUGAAUUAUAAGUUGACAUGUGGCUAAAUAAAAAAAAAAUUCGUGAUAAAAAAUUAUUCUAUCACAAAACCAUUAUUAAUUCCUGAUAAAAAAUAAUUUUAUCACAAAACCAUCAUUAAUCCGUGAUAGAAAAUAAUUCUAUCACAAAACCAUCAUUAAUCUGUGAUAGAAAAUAAUUCUAUCACAAAACCAUCAUUAAUCCGUGAUAGCAAAUAAUUCUAUCACAAAACCAUCAUUAAUCCAUGAUAUCAAAUAAUUCUAUCACAAAACCAUCAUUAAUCCGUGAUAGAAAAUAAUUCUAUCACAAAACCAUCAUUAAUCCAUGAUAGAUUAAAAAUUUUAUCACAAGUCUAUUAUAUUUUUAUGAUAUAAGCCAAGUCAGUCACAAGUUAUCUAUCAUCUAUUGCCAGUUUUCUUGAAGUGGUGGGUGUAUAAAAAAAUAAAAAAAUAAAAAAAUAAUUAUGAGUAUGGGUUUAAUAAAGGACUGUUUUGGUAUUUGAAAAGUGUGCUAGUAAAAAUUAUAUUUUAAAAUUUAUUAAAUGAGUGUGCAGAGUAAUAGAGUGCUCAAAAUAAACUUUAGAGUAUAACUUUAGAAAGUUAAGAUUAUAUGUAGUGCUUUAUAUGUUCAUUAGACAUUUUAGUGCGAUCGUUCAACCUUUAAUGAAAUCAUACUAGUUAAUCACAAUAAUGAUUGGUUAAUUUUAAAAUUAGAUAUAUUUAUGGGAAGAUUUUAUUACUUACAUAAAUGAUGUGAUAGACAUGUUCCAUUUUGCACAUGCUGCGCGGAGUUUUUGGUUUUCAUGGCUAAUUGUGGCUACUUGUUGUUAUUAAGGUGCAAAUUUGAGGGACGUACCAGGUCUACCGAUUGAUAAAAAGAACAGGGUAGCACUGAUGUCUUACUUACCGUCCAUUAGUACUUGGAAUUAAUUAACUACAUUUGCACUUAGAGUUAAAAUCCCACUGCCACUAGAAUAUGAGUAGAGAUGGCAAAUAUCCAAUUAUGGAUGGAUAAUAUCCAUCCAAAUACAAAUCCAUAAUUAUCCAUGAUAGAUAUAUCCAUAUCCAUAUCCAGUAUUUAAUAUUGGACAUGGAUAUGGAUUUUAUCCAUAAAGAUAUGGAUAUCCACGGAUAUCCAUGAAUAUUUUAUUUUUAUUAUAUAAAAAAUAAUAAUAAAAUAAAAUAAAAAAUAGUUAAAAACAGUAUUAAAUUCUAAUAUCAAAUAAAAAAUAAUAAACAUAACAAAUAUCAAAACUAUGAAUUAAAAAAAUUAUAAUAUGAAAUUACAAAUUAAUUUCAAAUUAAAUACAAAAAGUUCAUUCCUCUAACGCAUCAUUAAUCUCCAAUCUUCUAACACAUCAUUAAUCUCCAACUAGAUCAUCAUCAUUAAUCUGCAAAUUCAAACAAAACACAGAUAAUAUUAAAUGCACAAUGAGCCAAAUGAAAAAUGAAAGAAGCUUGAUAGUGUAAGUUCAGCCAGUUGUGACAGUUACCUGCGGAUAUGAUGAGUGCCUGACCAGUAUAAUUCAGGUUUGCCUUUGUCCAAGGAAUUUUUCAAACUGUAACCAACUGAUAACAAAAAGUAAAUGAGAAAAUGACAGAAAAAAGCCAGACCUGCCAUUUGAUGCAUGAAUAGAGCAGAUAUGAACUAAACAGGAAAUUCUGAAACCAUAUAAUUUGCCACCAUGGCCAUAACAAAUGAAAUAUCUUUGGCAGCCGGAUAGAUUUUCAAAUCAAGUGAAACUUAAGAUGAAUAACACAGGACAAAAGAUUAGGUAAUAGAAGACAGGGCCACAGAACAGAACACCAGGGAUCUGUAACAUUGAGGUCCUUUCCUAAAAAUAUACUCUUCAAUUAGGCACAACAAUAAGCAUCAAGCACAUACCAAAAAAAGAAAAUAAACACUAUUCAGAACAUGGUUGGGUCUCCUCUUCAUCAUCAUUAUCAGUCACUUCUCCAUUUAUUUCUUCCCCAUUCAUCACUUUAUCUUUAGGAAUCUCACCUAAUUUAAAAAAAAAACUUGUAAAAUAUAAAAAAAAACAAAUACUAUCAAAAUCAAAUAAGUGCAUAAGUGAGCUGAAUUUGAUACCUUUUAAUUGAGCCCAUAUCCAAUUCUGAGUACACAUUAAGGCCUCUACUGUACUCGGAUGAAGUCUACUACGAUGUGGGCUUAAACAUCGACCUCCCGCACUAAAAGCAGAUUCGGAAGCAACUGUGGAGACCGGAACAGCCAGCAAAUCUCUAGCAAUCUCAGACAAUAUCGGAUAUCUACUUCUAUUCACCUUCCACCACAUUAAAAUAUCGAAGUCUGGAGUAGUCUUAUCCUCUUCUUCCAAGUAAGUAUCUAACUCCGACUUAACUCGUUUACGAAUAUGUUGGCUUUUGAAUGCAUUAAAUUUUUGCACAUCCCACAUACCCAUCACAACUGAACUAGAAUUAGAAUUACAAACAACACUAGACUCACCAAAUCCUUCAGCCAAAUUCGAUCCAACCACACUCUUUUUUUUAUAUUCUGAAUAUAAGUCAGAACAGAGAGUACGGAUUCUAUCAAUAUGAGUUGAUGCAUCACUACCAUAAAUCUGAGGAAAGAAAUAAUCCACUAGAACCAUUUUGUAUCUAGGAUCCAAUACAACAGCAACAGCCAUUACACCAUGGAUUUCAUCCCAAUAUUUUCCAAACUUUUCUAACAUACUUUUCGCCAUAUUUUUUAUCACAUCACAUGAAGAAUUAAGCCAAGCAUUCAAUGAUAAUCUAAUUUCACAAAUUAUUGGAAAAAAUAAGUUAGCCAUAUAUUAUAUAUACUAGCAGAUUCUUUGAAGAAAGUAACCACUGCAUAUUGAAACUCUUCCAAUUCCUCUCUCUCUCUCUCUCUCUCUGUACACACACACACACACAGAGCCAUGUAAACAAAAAUAAGAAAAAUAAUGGAAGCCAUAAAGGCAUAAGAUUUUAGGCUUGUAAAAGCUUAUUUCAUGUUUAAUCAUGGAGCCAAAUUCAUAAACUAAAUUAAACCCCAUCCAGCAAUUAAUCAAAAUCUAGAUUUGUGACUGACAAAAGGUGAAGAAAAUAUUUGCAUAAUUUUAGUAAAAUCACCAGAAAUACGGUGAAAAUGCUGGGUACUGUGAAGAUCAAUCAAAGCCAAAUAUAUAUUAAACGGCUUAUAAGCUUCAGCAAUCAAAACUUACCUUGCGCGGGAGACAACGAACAGGCGGACGGACGACGGUGGUGGCAGCGACGACAGAGACGAUGGUAGCUGGAACGAGGCAGAAAAACGCUCAAGAACAGCUGGAAGCUGCAGUUACGGCUGAUCAACCAUUGGUACAGCGCCGGCGCACCUAAACGGAACCCCCGGAAAGCGGCGUCGGAGUUGGGGAAGAGCGUCGGUAAGCAAAGACCGGCCGGCGAGCGAUGUGAUAAUCUUAGGUUUUGCUAUCCAGACAUUUGUUUUUGCUUAUUUCAUUUUAGUUUUACGAUUUUAAUUUUUUAAUUUCAAAUAAGAUAUUAAUUGGAUAUUGGGUAUCCAUUGGAUAUCCAUACCCAUCCAAUUUUUAUUUGGAUAUUUUUUAAAAAUAUCCAUAUCCAUAUCCAAAAAAUUUUGGAUGGAUAUUAUCCAAUCCAAUUGGAUUGGAUGUAUGGAUAUCCAAUUUAAAUGGACCAAAUUGCCAUCCCUAAAUAUGAGCCUUCCUUCUUCAGUGCCAGCUAUAAGGAUGAAAGUUAAUAAUCGAUGGACGAAACUUCCUUUUGAAAUAGAGAUUGAGAAUGUCAAAUUCAAGCAUUUUGGAGCAGUUACUAAGGUAACUAAGGGGAUGUAAGAUUUUAUUUUAUGUUUUGUUAGAUUAAAAUAUGAUGAUGAGUUAACACCUAGAAAAAUGUUUGAGGAACUAAAGUUUGACAAAAAGCUGGCAAAAACACACUCAAAACAACGUUGUUUUGUUUUUUUUUUUGUUUUAAAAAAAAUAUUAAAUUCACUCAAAAUGAUGUUAUUUUGAUUAUAUUUUUGUCAUCCUUUUGUCAGGCUUGAGUUUAUAGCAGUACUCUAGUACUUAAUAUUGUUGUUACAAAAAUUUAAUUCAUCUCUCUUUCUUUUUAAUUUUAUUUUUUGGUGAUCAUUUAUACAUUUAAAAAAUAGGCGUUAUGUUUGUGAAGAGGAAAAUGACAAUAUUGAUAUAAGUAUAUCAACCAAAAGGAAAACAAGUCGCAAGGUAAUUAACUAGUUAAGCUCCUUAAUCCUUAUUAUCUUACAACAGAAAAUUAACUAGUUUAUUUUUGGAUUAAUAUUAUAUUCUUGAGUUUUAUUUUCAGGAAAAUGAAAAGUUCUUACUGCUGGGCCCUUCGGCUCCUUCCUCGGGCCCUCUUCUGGGCACUCAGACCGUCAUUCUAUAUAAAUGACCAAUUCUUAAAAAAAAAAAGAAGUAAAUUGUUAUAAACUAAUAGGUGAACUUUCACCAUUUAUCUCAAAUUGGUAAAUCAUCAUUUACCCCUUAGCUUUCCAACUCUAUAUAUGUAAUGUAUUCAUUCGCAUUGGUAACAAUAAAAUUCGAAAGCUUAUCAAUAAUAAGCUUAGUAAUAAGGUACUUUUAAGUACUUUGUUUAAUUCAAAAUUUUUCUGUUAUCUAUUUAUUUUAUAACAUGCUAUCAACAUGAUGGCUGAUUUGACGUGAGUAGUUGAAUUUUUAUUACUUGUGUUUAUUUAUGUUUAUUUCUUUUAUGUUUUGUCAUCAUUAUUAUGAGUUAUUACUUGUGUUUAUUUAUGUUUAUUUCUUUUAUGUUUUAUCACCAUUAUUAUAAGUUUGUUAUAUUGUUUAUUUUUUAUGAACUUUUUUAUGGCUGGUUCUAUAAUACCGCCUAUAUUAUUAUUAUUAUCUUUAUAUUAAUAUGUUAUUAUUCUAAUAUUGAUUUACAUGGUUGGUUCAACCGCCUGUCUUGUUUUAACUUAUCUGCUUGUAUGACUUGUUCAACCGCCUACCCUAUUUAAUUUAUUUGCUGAUAUGGCUGGUUUAAUUACCUAUUAAGUUAUUUUAAUUUCAAUAAAUUAUAACUUGUUCUUGCAUAUACUUGUCUUUGAAUAUUAUUGUUAUAUUCUGAAGUCUACAACACAAAUGAGGUGGUGAGAACUUGAAGUUCUAAACAACUACAUAAAGUUUCUACAUAUUCUAUAAUUUCUGUUUUUUUUAUACUUAAAUAUUUAUAUUGUGACACUUAUUUCUAUUUUCUUUAAUCAUUAAUAAUAAGGGUCCUAGAGAAAUGGCAACUCUCACGAAUAUGCAAAUCCCUGCUCUUGAAGUUUGGGGAGGAAACUACCUUUCUUGGGUAUUGGAUGCCAAAAUGCAUUUGCAAGCUAUGAGCCUAGAAGGCACUAUAGUAGAAGGAAACGAGGCAUCUCUCUGGGAAAAAUCAAAGGCCAUGGUUUUCCUCCGCCGCCAUAUACAUAAGAGCUUGAAAGCUCAAUAUCUAACAGUGGAGGAUCCACUAAUUUUAUGGAGUAACCUCAAGGAAAGAUUUGACUAUCAGAGGGAUAUUUCCCUACCAAAUGCCAAACACGAGUGGUUAAACUUGAGAUUCCAAGAUUAUACAAGAGUCUCUGAUUACAACUCUAUUAUGUUCCACGUAAGCCUAGAACUACAAUUGUGUGGGGUAGAAAUUACAGAUAGAGAUAUGCUUGAAAAGACACUCAUUACUUUUCAUGCAUCAAACGUUGUCUUACAACAAUAAUACCAGGAGUGUAGAUAUAGCAAAUAUUCUGAAUUGAUAACAACUCUUUUAAUUGUUGAGAAAAACAAUGACCUCCUGAUAAAAAACCAUGAGUUAUGCCCAAUUGGCUCUUAACCAUUCCUAGAAGCGAAUGUGAAUACAUGUAGCAAUCGUGAACGUAAUCAAGGAGGUAAAAGAGAUCUUGGUCACUACCAUCGUGGUGGUUAUAGGCAUGAAGGACAAUAAAACAACAAAUAUGGAUGCCACCAAAAGUGAAAUGUUUAUGAGAGACCUAAAUCCAAUGAUGCAAGAAAGAAUAAUGUUAGAAAUGAUAAUGGAGAAAUAUGUUAUCGACGUAGCAGGACAUUGGUCACAAACUUGUCGGACUGAAAAAAAUUUGGUGGACCUUUAACAGGCAUCCAAGAAAGGAAAGGGAAAAAUUGAGACAAAUUUAGUCGAGAACUCAGAUCUUGUCGAUUUGACUCAUCCGGAUGCCUUUGAUUUUUUUGAAGACAUGGAGGGAAAAAUGAUAAAUUAAGUAAUAAUAGAAAUGUCCAAACUUUUAUGCUAGUUGCUAAUAUGCUAACUUUUGUAUCUAUUUGUAGUUUUAUCAAUUGUACUCAAUGUUUAUUUUGAUGUUUAACACUUUGGUUUAAUGAAGGUUAUGGAUUUUAGAAAUCAAUUAUCUAUUUUAGAAUCAAAGGCUUAAGAUGUUUACUUGGCUGACAGUGUAACCACACACACUAUUCUUCAAGAUAAAAAAUAUUUCUUAGAGAUAAAAUUACUUGAAGGAAAAAUAAAUAUGAUAUCUAAUCCUGCAAACUAAAAUUACUUGAAAGAAAAGUAAAUACUAUAUCUGGUCAUGCAGACCUAAUAGAAGGCUCUGGAAGUGCUAUACUUUUGCUGGCAAGCGGAACAAAACUAAUAAUUCAGAAUGUUUUAUAUUCAGCAAAAUCUAAAAGAAAUCUACUAAGCUUUAAAGAUAUCCACCGAAAUGGAUAUCAUAUUGAGACUUCCAAUGAAAAUAAUGUGGAAUAUCUCUACAUUACUAAAAAUGUCUUAGGAAAGAAAUAUAGACUGGAAAAACACAAAGCAUUCCCAGAUUGUAUUAUACAAUCAUAAAUGCAAUUGAAAGCCACGCAGUGAUGAAUUAGAAGUUCACAGAUCCAAGAUAUUUAUGUUGCGGCACGAUCGUCUCGGACAUCCUAGAUCUACAAUAAUGUGUAGAAUUAUUGAAAAUUCUUAUGGACAUCCAUUAAAGAACCAGAAGAUUUUAUUGUCCAAUGAGAUUGUUUGUAUCGCUUGCUCACAAGGAAAAUAUAUAGUUAAACCAUUUCCUUUCUAAGGUUGGUUAUGAAUCUCUAAUGGUUCUGCAAAGAGUUCAAGGAUAUAUAUGUGGGCCAAUCCAUCCACCUAGUGGACUGUUUUGUUACUUUAAGGUGUUGAUUGAUGCAUCUGCAUGGUGGUCACAUGUUUGUUUAUUAUCCACCCUCAACGUUGCAUUUGCAAGAUUACUUGCCCAAAUUAUAAGAUUAAGGGCAUAAUUUCUAGAUUAUCCAAUCAAAACCAUACAUCUAGAUAAUACUGGUAAUUUACAUCUUAGACAUUUGAUGAUUACUGUACAUCAGCAGGUAUCGAUGUUGAGCAUCCAAUUCCACAUGUACAUAUACAAAAAUAGAUUGGCAAAAUCAUUUUUAAGCAAUUGCAGGUAAUUGCAGGAACUUUGCUUAUGCAUACAAAAUUACCAAUAUAUGCAUGGGGUCAUGCUAUUUUACAUGUUGCAGCAUUAGUUCGUGUUAGACCCAUCACUUAUCAUCAAUAUUCUCCAUCACAGCUUGUACUUGAUCGACAACUUGACAUUUCCCAUCUACACAUUUUUGGUUGUGUUGUGUAUGUUCUUAUAUUUAUGUUGGCUUUAAAUCACCUUUAAUUAUCAGAUAUCUUGAACCCUUGAUGGGUGAUCUUUUCACCACACGUUUUGCAGAUUGUCACUUUGAUGAGACAAUUUUUCUAUCAUUGAGAAAUGGAAAGCCUCUUGAAGUAAGGCAUGAAUUCUCUUGGAAAGUUCCCACUUUGUCUCACCUAGAUCCUCGCACCAAUCAAUGUGAAAAUGCAGUGCGAAGGAUAGUACAUUUACAGCAAAUUACAAAUCAAUUAUCAGAUGCCUUUACAGAUAUAGUGAAGGCAACCAAGUCACACAUUCCAACUGCUAAUACGUCAGCCCGGGUGGUUGUUCCUGUUGAAUAAUCAAGUGUAAAAGUGGUAACUUAUUUAUUAGGCUACAAAAACGUGGUAGACCACUUGGUUCCAAAGACAGUGCUCCCUAAAAGAAGAGAAUAAAAAAUCAGGAUCCUGUUGAAAAUAAAGCUCGAGCUAUAGACAUACCCACAUUAUCUAACUCACUAGAAGAACUGAUGGUUCCUUAAGAGGCACAUGUUCCUAAAGAGACAGUAACCCAUGAAGAGGUAGGAGAAUAUAAAAAUGAGGAAAAAUCCGUAAAUUUUACUUAUACAAAGGAAAUAUGGGAUCAUAAUAAAAUAAACAUCGACAAUGUGCUUUCAUUCACAGUAGCUAUUGAAAUUACAAAGGAUUUCGAGCAUAAAAUUGAUGAUGAAUGUAGGCAAAGGCAUGAUUGGCCUCAAUGGAAAGAUGCGAUUCAAGCAGAAUUAAGUUCUCUGGCUAAACAUAAAGUCUUUGGACUUGUAGUUCAGACACCUAAAGAUGUCAAACCCGUUGGAUACAAAUGGGUAUUUGUAAGGAAACGUAAUGAGCAUAAUGAAAUUACCAGAUAUAAAGCGCGACUAGUCACACAAGGUUUCUCCUAGAGACCUGGUAUUGAUUAUGAGGAUACAUAUUCUCAGAUGCUAUUAUGUUUCAAUUUCUAAUCAGCUUAGUAGUCUCUGAAAGACUUGACAUGCGUCUCAUGGAUGUAGUGACCGUAUAGAUGUAUGGGUCACUCGACAUUAUUUUUUUAUGAAAAUCCUUAAAGGAUUCAAAAUGCAUGAAGCGUUUAAAUAAAAAAGAUCGUAAUCUAUGUUCAGGGAAAUUAGCAUGGUCAUUAUACAGAUUAAAACAAUCUAGAUGCAUGUGGUACAAUCAUUUGAGUGAAUAUUCGAUUAAAGAAGGAUACAAAAAUGAUUCAAUUUACCCAUGCGUAUUCAUUAGAAAAUCAGAAUCUGGAUUUGCAAUUGUAGCAGUCUAUGUUGAUUACAUGAAUUUAAAUAGAACUCUUGAAGAGCUCCUAAAAACUACUGAAUAUUUAAAGAGAGAAUUUGAAAUGAAAUAUUUAGGGAAAAUAAAAUAUUGUCUCGACCUAUAGAUCGAGCAUAAAACAAACGGAGUGCUUAGUCAUCAAUCACCUGAUAUUGAGAAAAUAUUAAAACGAUUCAAUAUGGAUAAUGUUCAUCCAAUAAGCACUCCUAUGGUUGUUCGAUCUCUCGUUCCUAAAAAGGAUCCAUUCCGGCCCAAAGAGGAUGACAAAAAGAUACUUGGUCCAGAAGUGCCAUAUUUAAAUGCAAUCGGCACUUUAUUAUAUCUAGCUCAAUGCACCAAACUAGACAUUGCAUUCUUUGUGAACUUAUUGGAGAGAUUUAGCUUAGCAUCCACACAUUGACAUUGAAAUGACAUCAAACAUAUGUUUCGAUACCUUCGUGGAACGUCAAACUUGGGUUCUUUCAAACGAGCCAACAGAGAAUCCUAGUCUUAUCGAUUAUGCAGACACAGGUUACCUAUUUGAUCCCCACAAAGUCCGCUCACAAAUAGGAUAUGUUUUCACUUACAAUGGAACAACAAUUUCGUGGCGAUCUACAAAGCAAACUUUCGUUGCCACCUCUUCUAAUCACUCAGAGAUCUGUACACUGUAUGAAGCAAGUAGAGAGUGUAUUUGGAUGCGGUCUAUUAUCCAUCAUAUUCAAAGCACGUGCAAUUUGGCCUUCGCAACAGAUGUUCCAACAAUUAUACACAAAGACAAGGCUACCUAUAUUGCUCAAAUCAGAGAAGGAUACAUAAAGGGAGACAGAACUAAGCAUAUCUCACCAAAGUUUUUCUACACUAAUGAGCUGUAGCAGGACAAGAAAAUUGAUGUAAAGUAAAGACACUCCAUUAAUAAUCUUGAUGAUCUUUUCACUAAAGUUUUUCCCACGAGAAGUUAGUUCACAAUAUUGGCAUGCGUCGACUCAAUAGAUUAUCAAACUGAUACUUGACAGUUGAGGAGAUAUUUCAUCUGGGGGAGCAUAUUUUGAAGAUAGGAGUUCUUGCAUCUAUAUAGACAAAUGUGUAUUAUACUCUUUUUCCUUCGACCAGGUUUUAUCCCACUAAAUUUUACUGGUGAGGUUUUAACGAGGCUGUAUUAAACAAACCUAAUUAAGUACAUAAAUGGUAAAGUUCAAGGGGGAGUGUUAUAACUAAUAGGUGAACUUUCACGGUUUUGUAAGUGAAAAAUGUCCCACAUCGGCAAGUGAUGAUUACAAACAUAAUGAUGAACUUCCACCAUUUAUCCCACAUUGGUAAAUCAUCAUUUACCCCUCAGCUUUCCAAUUCUAUAUAUAUGUAACGUAUUCAUUCGUCUUGGUGAUAAUAAAAUUCAAAAGCUUAUCACUAAUAAGCUUAGUAAUAAGGUACUUUUUAAGUACUUUGUUUAAUUCAAAAUUUUCUGUUAUUUAUUUAUUUUAUAACAUAAAUGUUUUAGUUCAACUUUUUAACCUUUUUUUUCGUUGCUUGCCUUGUUAGGGACUCCUUUUUCUGAAGCUUGUCAUUGUUUUUUUGGUCGUUGAGCAUAAAUAAACAGAUAUACGCUUAUUAUUGAAAAAAAAAAUCAACCCUAUUUUUGAAGCAGUGAUGUCGAGUAAAAUAAAAUAUUUAACUUGUUUCGGUAUUUUGGAGAUGACGCACUCGUGGAGCCUUGGAGUCGGAGAGGUGCGAAGGAUUUUGGGAUUAACAAAAGAACGGAAUGGAGGAUUUAUAUAGAGGAAAGAGUUGGGUAUGGACUGUGGAAUGGAAAUAAAAUUCUGUGAAAGUCUGUUAAACGUAAAAUGGAAUGAAUUUAAUGAUUGAUAAAUAGAUAAAUACACAUCAAAUCUCUUUAAUUUUUCAAUCAACCUUUUUCUUUUUUUAUUAUUACAGUAGACUAUUAAAUAUACGUAGCACACUUCUAUUUAUUGAUCCCCUGCUAAAAAACAAUUAAAUACCGAAUUAAUUUGUUAAUCCCAUAACAAUAAUCUUGUUAAUAAUGAAUUGUUUUACUUAUUUAUAACCGUAAACAAAGAAAUUACAUCUCCAGUGAUUGUCCAUGCAAUCUUUGGCUCUGUUUGGUGAUUUCUUUCCAUUCUCGACCGGCUACUGCUUCCAAGUAUAUAUAGGAAUUUGUGUAGCUAGCUAUAUAAAUAAUUGUCUACCAAUAUUCAAUUGAACUCAUUAAUUAUCUUUAAUUUUUUUUUGGGCGAUGCAUCUUUGAAACGCGAUUCACGUGUAAACAUUAUUGCAAUGGGAGUUAAACGUGAUUCACGUGUGAACUCAUGAUUAAUUAUCACAUUCAUGUGUUUACGUAAUCGAAGUAAGAGAGGUUACGGAGGCUUUCGAAAGAUCGUUACACAUUAACUGACUUGUUAUUUUUCUUUUCCCCUUUCUUCCUUUAAUAAUAUUUUAUUGUAUUAUUAAAAAAAAAAUAUCAUUUCAUAUUUCAUAGUUAAAACGUCAAAUUUCUAUGUUUACAUAUAUGAUGCUGAAAAUUAUAUCUCAUUAAUGUCUUUUUAACUUUUGUUUUUCACUACAAGAAAUUAGGAUAUAUGUGACCGCAAAAGCGGCUUUUUACACAGUGGUUCGUGACCGUAUACGGCUUUUGUGGCCUCUUAUAUGACGGUCAGACAGCCGUCACAUAUAUACUAACUAUGUGUCAAUUAGUAAAGUUACUAAAUCAUUUCAUACAAUAAUAAUGAAAAUAUUCUUGAAAAUUGUUAAUAAUAAAAUUGUUAAUUUGUUUUUAAUUAGAAAAAUAUUAACAAUAAUUCAAAAAAGAAAAAAAUAACUAUUUCCAUUUGAAAACCAAAAUCCUAAUCCUAACACUAACAUGUCGCCGGUAAAUGGAAAAUGCCGACGAUCUUCUUCUUCAUCUUAUUCUGCGAUCUUCUAUUUUGGUGGCUGUUACUAGGUUUUGCAACUGCAAUUUCCCUGUCAAAAGAGACGGUUACACAACAUUUAAUUUGGAACGCGGCGCGUAUAAAAGCAUCUCCAAAAUGCUCUUCAAAUAAGAUUUUAUUACUUAUUUAAAGAGUCACAUCAGCAUUUAAGACCCCAAAAUAUACUCUAAUUAAGAUUUUUCAAAUGAAAAAUAAUUCUCUCUUUAAACUUGUAGUGUUGUUUUCUUUCUCUUCAAUUUAUAUUUUAUUACCUUUUAUUGGAGAGAGAGAAUUUAUUUUUCUUUUGAAAAAAUAUUUAUUUGAUUAAAAUAAUAUUAAUUUAUUUCUAUUUGAAGAGUCUUUUAAAAAAUAAUAUAUUUUUUCACUCUCCUCUUUGUCACAUAAUUAACCAAAUAAAAUAAUUGAAAAGUAAAGUUAAUAGACUUUUUUUUGGAGAUACUCUACCUCCUCUUUACAGUUACAAAGCCAUCACAAAAGGUCAUAUGUAACUGCAAAAUAACGGUCAUAUAAAUCACUUUUUCUUGUAGUGAAUUUAUUUUUUGCGACUUUGAUAAUAUUCCUCGAUGUAUUGGUUUUAGCAGAGAGGAAGUUUUCUUGCCAUUAUCACGAUGAUAAGCACUAUUUAUAAAACAUAAACAUUGUUAAUGAGUUAUUAAGGUCUCAGUUCUCUGUAAGUUGCAAAAAUUAGCUAACUAAUAAACAUGUAGAGUCUGUUUAAUAAAAAUAUUGAAGAAGAACUGGAGCAUAAAUAGCUAAACUAAUAUGAACAAAGUCGAGCAAAGUCAUACAAUUUUAUGUCAGCUGAAAACAAAUCUACACUCAUAUAAUAUUAUAAUUGACAGACAACAACAAUACUCAUAUUUUUAUUCAAUUAAACAUAAGACAAAAGAGAACACAACAUGUACCUAACCAAUAUGGUUAGGGUUCCUCCUGUAUUAAGGAACCAGUUCAGAGGCGGAUGUAGUGUAGGACUAGUGGGGGCUCAAGCUCCCACUGAAAAAACUGAAAAAAAAAACUCCUUUUUGUUUAAAAGAAAAAUUAAUAAAUUUUUAAAUAAUCCCUGUCAGAUUAUCAAAUAGCCCCGUUCUUUCAGUUUCUACAACCACAUAAGAGAGAAUAUUUUUAACAAUGAAAUUUGUGAAGAAUAAAUUUCGCAAUCGGAUGGGAGAUGAAUGGAUAAAUAAUAAUUUGAUUGUUUAUGUAAUAAAGGAUGUAUUUAAUAGUGUUGAUAAUGAAUCUAUUGCACAAUGUUUUCAGAAUAUGAAAUCACGUAGAGAACAAUUGUAAAUGUGUUAUAAAAAAUUGUAUAUAUUCAAGUUUCAGUUUUUAUAUUUUGUUGUUAUUUAAUUUAACCCCUAGUAAAUUAUUUUUCUAGAUCCGGGAACUACAAGAAGAUUAAAAUUGUCAUUUUUUAAGUCUUUGUCAACAGCAAUGCUUAUUCACAUGUACAUAAAUUAAAACAUGAAUUAUAAGUAAUAUUCAAAUGAACUUGGCUUAAAAAACAACCUGCGCAACGAGUUUCCAUAUAUUCUUCAAAUCAGAAAGGGAAAGUUCUCUGCUAGCUUUUGGUGAACUGUAAUCAAAAGAAAGUUGUAGACUUGAACGAGUUUCCAUUUCUGCUGGUUUGAUAUGAUAUGAUACAUACACACAUACAUACAUAUAUGUAUGUAUCCAAAAUCUUGAAUUUUAUAAAAAUCUAAGAAAAUUAUUAAAUUAUGAAGUUUAAUGGCAUAAUUGCACAAUACUAUUAAACUACACAAUUUAAUAACUUUUUCAGAUUUUAAUAAAGUCAAGGAUCCUAAUCAAGUAGUCAACAGUACCAUGGUAUUCAUUAAUUACGGAUCAACGGCUGAAGUUUUGUUAUAAUCCAUAAAUUGUCAAGAUUAAGGGCCAUGGUCAAAAGAUUGUGAUAACUGCGAAAUAUGCAACGUCUAGUCCACAAUAAUAUCAGUAACUGUAAAAAGGAAGACAAAGAAAAUGAUUAAAUACCAUUAUCAACUAUCGAACAAAAGCGAAGCAAAAUGCAUGGCAUAGACAACGAAUCAACAGUUGACGGUUUUUUGCAAAAUAAUUAAGUUUAACGGCUGUGAACACAACUCAAAAUAUCAUUUAAAAUGAUAUGACUAGGGGUGUUCGCGGAUGAAAUUUUGCAUAUUGGAUAUAAAUUCAUAUCUAAUUCACGAAUUUGCGAAUUAUAAAUUUUCAAUUCAAUCCAAUUCACGAAUUGGUGAAAUUUAAUUUAAAUCCAAUCAAUAAGUUUGUGGAUCAGACAUAAAUUUGACCUAAUCCAUAUCCAAUCACCAUUUUAUUAAUUGAUUUGUGAAUUAACAGUUUUUAAUUUUGUCCAAUCCAUCAAUUCAUUAAAUAAGAAAAUCUAAUAUAAAAAUAAUUUUAUUACUAAUUAAAUUCAAAAUUGAAUAAUAUUUAAAUAAAUUAAUUGUUUAAAUAAAACCAGAAUAAUACAUUUAAAGUUUCAAAAUAUAACACAGCAAAGGGAAAAGAUCACAUUUGUUUAGAUUAAAAUAUAAAAAUUAACUAAAAUUAUUAAAACUAACUAUUUAAGAAGCUAUAUUUGUUUAUUUAAAUAUUUGAUUAUUUAAUUUUUUUAUUAUAAUUGGAUAAGAUAUAAUAUGGUAUUAAUGUAAUUAUAUUUUAAUUAAUUUAUUCAUUAGUAAGUAGUAAUGCCACAUUUACAAGUUUUAUUUUUUAAUUUAAUAUUUUUGUUUGUGGAUUUACAUAAGUAAAUCCAUAUCUAAUCCACUAUCUGUUAAUUUUUAAAUUAUCAAUUGAAUCCAAUCCAUCAAUCCAUAAAUGAGAUUUUUAAUGGAUUAGAUAGAUUAAAUUAAAUUCAAAACACCCAUAGAUAUGACAUGAAUCAAUUAAAUAGUGAGAUAAUGUUAUUAAAAUUAUAAACAAUCGUCAAGUAUUUAAUAAAUAUACGACACAUUAUUUGCCACGAAAGAAACAAAAUCGAAAUAAAAUUUUUAGAUAUUUAUCUGCUUUUUAAAUGAUUGCAACAAGUGUGAAACACAUGGUUUGAUGGUCCACAAAAUAUAUAAUUGUCAAAAAGAAGACGGACAAAGUAAUUGAUGAUAAACCAUCUUGUACUUUAUUGCAGUACAGCAUGAUUCACACUUAUCCAUCUUGUACUUUAUUGCUGCACAACAUGAUUCACACUUUUUGCAAUCAGUAUUUAAAGAAAAGAGUUUUUAGAGUGCACCAGUGUUACUGCACUUAAUUAAAAGAUAUAAAAAUCACUACAUAAUUGAUGGUUGUAUACAAUUAGGGAGUCCCUAUAUUACAUUAAAUAUAACAUACACUCCACAACAACCACAUAAAUGAUGGACUCACACAAUUUAUGUAGUUGUUAUGGAGUGUGUAUGUUACAUUUCAUGUAACAUAACAUUUGGCAUACAAUUAAACUAGGCAUGUUAUAUAUACACAUAUAUUUUGAAUAAAGUAUUUUUAAUGUACUUUAAAAAUUCUCCUAUAAACAUGAUUAUUAUAUGGUAAAAAUUCCCACCCUAUAAAAGAUCUCAUCAUAGCCAAAAAAUAAUUAUAUAUUUAAAAGAAAGGGUAGAUGUAUUUUGAAAGAACGAAUUAGAUAUGGAAAUAAAUAGUGUGUGUUUAUAAAGUCAAUAAAUGUCAAAUGGAAUGAAUUUAGCGAUUAAUAAUUAGGUAGGUAAACAUGAGAUCACUUUUUUCGAUCAACAUUUUUUAUUAUUAAAAUAGGCUAUUGAAUAUUCGUAGCGGACUUAAUUCUAUUUUCUUCCUCAGCUAAAAUAUUGUUAUCACCAAAUUAAUUCGUUAAUCUCAAUCUUGUUAAUAUAUAAUUGUUUUAAUUAUUUAUUUAUAACUCUCUGGGCAGGUAUGCAUAGUCGUGUAUGUUAUUUUGCACGUUAGGCCACGUGUCAUCUGAUUAUCAGCUGGCAUCUAAAAGUCUGACUAAUGAUCAAGUGACACAUGGCCAGACACGCACAAGUACAUAUGCGAUGGCAAACACCAAAUCAGAUUUCGUUAUUUAUAAAUGCAAAUUAAGAAAAUUAGAAGAUCGCCCCUGAUUGUCCAUGCAAUUUUUGUUGGCUCUAUUUCGUGAUUUCUUCCCAUUCAUGUAAUUCCAUAAUUAAUCCCAUAAUAAGUAAUAUAGAUCAAGAAGCAAAACAGCAAAUAAUUAAUUCCAUAAUCCCUAGAUUUAUGGCAUAAUCGUAUAUAUUUAAUUUUCUAGUUUAGCUUUCUGUAACGCACACCUCUACUGCAUAAUUCAUGAGUCUAGAGAAAACCUUUCGUUUUCUAACAAUGAGUAUCUGCAAAUGAAAAAAAAAAAUUGUGCAUUCACAUUUUAGUAACUGCUCGUGCCUGUAUUAGGCGUGACUUGCUUUCCUUUCCACCCCGAAAAUCUUAAUUUGGGGUAUUAAUUGAUGUCGUAGCCUGAAAUAUUACUGAUGUCUUCACUAAUUUUAUUAGAUAGUAGAGAGAAAGUAUUCCUUGAUGAAAUUGUAUUUAGCAGAGAGGAAGUUGUCAUUAGGGACAUGCUUCUUAAAAAUGGGAGAAAAAGUUGUAAUGCCUUUUUUUUUUUUUACGAUGAUACGUGCUAUUUAAACAAAUAAAACAUUCUUCAUUAGUUAUAAAGAUCUUGUCCGCUGCGACCUACAACAUUAGUUGAUUACUAAUAAAUAUCCAGAGUUUGUUUCACAAAAAUAUUCAAGAAAAGAGAAAGCAUAAUUAAAAAGAUAUGGCACAAACAAAAUAUUACAUACUAUGCACAAUAAUUUUAUUUAUUAAGAAAGACAAAUUGCAUGAAUACAAACAAAGAAAAUCUCUUGCAUAUCUCAAGAGAUCUUACUAAUUAAACUAAAACAAACUGGCAUUCACGCGAAACCAUCGACUGGUAAUGACAACGAACGGUGCCCACCAUUUAUUCAAUUAUUACAUAUAACACAUCCAAAAGAGUAACUCUGUUUAUAUUUAACCAGCGUGAUUAGGGUUCCCUCUAUAUUGAGAAAUCAGAAGAAAAUCAAGAUUGUGAUCCACAACCUCAUCAUCAGCAACACUUCCAAGAUAUGGGUCACCCCAACUUUCAGUCCAAUCGUUAUUACCUGAAAAGUUCAUAUUAUAAAAUACACGUAUUAAAAUAAAAAUUAUAAAUGAUGUUCAAUUAAAAAUGCAUGGCCUAUAUAUAAACCUGCGCAAGGAGUUUCCAUGAUCUUCAAGUCAGAAAGAGAAAAGAUCUUUGCUAGCUUCGGGUGAACCGUAUUCAAAACUCAAAAGGUAAGUAGUUGAGUUUGAGCGAUUUCUAAUUUCUGGUUUGAUCUUAUAGAUAGAUCAAGUAGCCGACACUGCACUGCCAACGUAGCAUAUAUAUAUAUAUAAUCCAUGGAAGACUCUAGAUAAUGGAUCAACGGCUCAGGUUUCAUCCUACAAUAAGUAGGUAAGAUUAACGGCUAGAGUUAUUGCAUGUGCGCAACAUGGUCCACAAAACAAAUAAUUGGAAUAAAAAAGACGGACAAAGUUAUAAAUACCAUUGAACUCAUUAAUUAAAUACCAUUAUCAACUACCAAAAAGAAGGGAAGCAAUAGUGCAUGUAUAGACAACGGACCAACGGUUGAAGUUUUUUCGCAAAAUAAUUGAGUAAGAUUAACGGCUAUUAUCACAGUAUAAAAUUUCAUCUCAAAUGAUAUGACAUUAAUCAAUUGAAUAAUAAAAAAAUGUAACUAAAAUUAUAAACAAGUAUUAAGUAAUUGGUAAAUAUAUGACACAUUAUUUCCCAUACCAUUCGAGAUGCAAUUUAAAAUAAAGUUUUUAGAUAUUUAUAUGUUGUUUAAAUGAUUGCGACAAGUGUGAAACACAUGAUCUGAUGUUCCCAAAAUUAUAUUUGUCAAAAAGAAGACAAACAAAGCAAUUGAUGAUAAACGAUCAUUACUUUACUGCAACAAAACAUGAUUCCCAAAAUUAUUUUGAAAAACAUGAUUAAUUAAUUAAUAAUCACUUAAUUAAUGUAUGUAUGUUAUAAACAUAUUAUUUUAAAAAAUAACUAUAUAAUUGAUAGUUAUAUUUAAUUGAACUACUCAUCUUAUAGAUACAUUAAUUGAAUAUAGUAUCUAAGGUUAUAUAUAUAUAUAUAUAUAUAUAUAUAUAUAUAUAUAUAUAUAAAUUAUGUUCUUGAUUUUUGUCCUAAUAUCAAUAGGAUCGCCAAACCAUUGCAUGAUAGGUUAAAGAAAACUCCUGUUGCAUGGUCGGAAGAACAUACAAAAAUUGUUAAACAUAUAAAGACUAUAGUUAAAAACAUUCCAUGUUUAUUUCUUGCAAAUCCUGCAUUGCCUAAAAUUGUUGAGACUGAUGCAUCAGACCUAGGUUAUGGUGGGAUAUUAAAACAAGUUAAUAAUAAUAAAGAACAAAUAGUACAAUAUGUUUCUGCACACUGGAAUGAAUGCUAGAAAAAUUAUUCUACUAUUAAAAAAGAAAUUUUAUCCAUUGUUUUAUGCAUUUCCAAAUUUCAAAGCGAUUUAUUAAAUCAAAAAUUUCUGCUUAGAAUUGACUGCAAAGCUGCAAAACACGUUUUGGAAAAAGAUGUUCAAAACAUUGCAUCUAAACAGAUUUUUGCACGAUGGCAAGCCAUUUUAAGUGUUUUUGAUUUUGAUAUUGAAUUUAUUAAGGGAGAUACAAAUUCUCUCCCUGAUUUUCUAACCAGGGAAUUUCUUCAAAACAGAUAAUGCCGCCCAAAAGAUGAGACAAAGGGAAAGAGAUCCUCACAGAACCCUUACCCAAAUCAACCCCUAAAGCCUCCCAAUCCUCUCCACCUAAAGAAAAAUUGCUUUCUUCAGCAAUGCCUAUAAAGUCUUGGAUUGACGCUAUUGAAGACCAAGAAGCCUAAUCCAAAGCCCUUGCCUCCUGGGAGCAGGUAAAUGAAUGGAUGAAAUCCAUUUCUAAAUCCCCUGAGUUUCUGCUCGCCUUACAAAGUUUUUCUCAAAUCCAGAUUUCUCCUAAAGAAGAAAAACCUAUUUCUAAAGAAAUUUAUAAACCUCCUUCACAAAAUGUAAUUCUUUCUAGUGAAAGUUCAUCUUCUCAGAUUGUUCUUUCCCAAACAAAACUUUCAAAGAAAACAUCGGAUUAGUAUGAUAAAACUCAUUUCCAAAAUAUUUUAUCCAUAGAAGAUGGUUUUUACCACACUGAUCCUUUUCAAGCAAUUUCAAAUUUUUUUCCCAAAGGCUGGUUUUUCAAACCUUGGGAUUUGACAAAACCUCAGUCUUAUUACCAAAGCAUUUUGGAGUCUUCUGAGUCUGUAAAAUUCAAAUACUUCUUCCUCAGUGAAACCCAUACAAAACCAGCUUACUCCACAGCCACCAUUCUAAAAGUUUUGAGCCCAAAAUAGUGGGGAGACCAACUUCACAUACUAAAGCCUUUCCCCGCCAAUUUUCAAAUGCGUUUACCACACUACCUAUCCUAUUCCUACUGGGAUUAUCAACAGGCUUGGUUUAAUACAUUUUUUAUACAAAACCCAAAAAAGACCCAUUCUUGGUUAUUUUUAUUCAACUCAAAAAUAACCGUCUAAAGUCUUCCAAACUGGUUCCAACAGUGGUGGAAUUAUUUUGGGCCAUGCCCUGAAAUCCUCACCCAAAAUGUCAUCCAGUGCCUAAAUCUUUUUAAAACCCACUAUGUACCUACAGAGUCUGAGAAACGAUUUCCUCAUUUUCUCUGCUUCUGUACAAAUUUCUUUCUCCCUUGGGUUUGGAUGUGGAACUUUCGAUACCAUCCACAAGAUGCCCAAUUAAUUCUACAAAGAACCUUCAAAGUCAAAUGGUGGUCAAAAUUUUAUGAACAGUCCAAAUUGACUGUUAACAUGAUCGAAAAUUGGCUCUCCUCUAAAAGCCUUCUACAACCAACCAUCAAAGACAUUAAAGCCCAAGGAACCUUCCUUACCCAAAAAUCCAAGGCCCAAUAUCUUUUGGCCGAUGCCAAAACAGAAGAAGAAUAUUUUAAAGUCAUGGAACAGCUUCUCGCUUCGAGAUCUGAGCCAUCAGUUGCAAGUUCCGGUUCAAGCUCUUCUGGAGAAGCCGAGCCAUUCAUUUCCCUUGGAGAUGAUAAUGAAGAUGAUUGCUUCGGCAUCUUCCCUCCUGUAAAGCAUUGUUAAGUUACUUCGGCAUCUUCCCUCCUAUAAAGCAUUGUUAAAAAAAAAAUAAAAAGAGUACUAAUUUUCUAUUUUUCUCUGUAUUUAUCAUUUGUAUUCAAUUUUAUAAUUCCUGUAAAAUUCUACUGUAAAAAUUACCUUAUUACUUGUAAUACUUUGGGUGGUCCCCUGGACACAAGUGAGAGCGCACAUGUCUCUUCACCCGAUUUUUCCCCUUUUAUAAUUCCAUGUAAUUUUGUUUUGCAAAGCCACUGUUUCAAGCUACAGUUGUGAAGCUACAGACUCGCUACAGUAUCGAAAGCUACAGUUUCGCUACAAUUAAAGACCCAGUCUUUGUAUUUAAAUCGGGAGGAAGACUUAGACUCCUCAGAUUUUGGGGGGCAUUCUGAGAAUUUUCAAGAUGGGACUUACUAAAGACAGAUUGUGUUAUAAAUCUUAUCUUUAGAAACUGCAUCUGUUAUAAAUCUUAUCUUUAUAAACCUUUUCCACGAUCUCGGAUCUGUGUUGUUGGUAUCAGAACACAGGGAAAGUAGGUGUAAUAUUUGGUAAAGCAUCUGUGUUGUUUAUUUCUUUUAUUAAAAAUCAGUGUGUUUGCUGAAUUCUUUACUGGUAGUAAGUCCCAUCUUAAGAUAAGGUUUUCCGCUUAGGGCAGUAAUACCAUACCUGUAGGCAUUCAUAUAGGUUUUAAUUUAAGUUUUAAAUUGCAUGGAUUCUCUACUGCAUAGAACAUCAUCUUUCUCUAGCUCUUCUUCCGAGAAGACUAGUGUUUCAAAGAACGUGGUGAAUUCAGAAUAAUUCAUUAUUGAAUAUUUUAAUAAAGCAAUUGACAAUUGGGAUUUGCCAAAAGUUUCUAAAGAUAAGAUUUAUAAAAUGAAAAAACUUGAUUUUCUAAAGACAGAUUGUGUUAUAAAGACAGAAGAAAGAGAUAUCACACUUUCAAAACCUUUUGAAACAAUUCACUUGUUCUCUGAACAUUCUUUAAAGAAAUUAAAAAAAAAGAAUUUCAAUUAUAUUCAUAUCGGUUUAAUUCAAGUCGGCAUAAAACCCUUAACUAAGGAAGGACUAAAUACUUCCAUUCUUGCUGUCCUCAGAGAUGGGAGGUUCAUCUCCUUUGAUGAUUCCUUACUCAGUAGUAUUGAAUCUAGUCUCUGUAAAGGACCCAUUUCUUUUUAUUGUUAUCCUAACAUAACGGUUUCUUUAAAAGAUAAGAAUAUUUUGAAAAGCAUGAUUUUACAGAUCAAAACGCAUAAUUAUCACAUGUUAGAAGGAUAUGUUCCAGUUGCAUUAAUUUUCAAAAUAUCAUAUAAAGCCAUGAUUUCAACGUUCAAUACGCAACAUAAAUUCCAGUAAAAAAGAGAUGAAACUCUUCUCUUGCAGACUGAUAUGUCUAAAGCCAACACCGUCAUUCCAAAACCAAUCCAAUGGAAAGAUAUCAAUCUUCCAGAUGAAUGGAUUCUUGAAGGAGCCACUCAACCAGUGAUUCCAAAACAACUUGAGCCAAAUACAGAAUUACAAAAUGUGACUCAGUAUUCAGAUGGUAAAGUCAAACUGUCUUUUAGGAGAUCUAUAUCCUCUAGAUUCUCCGAUAAAGAUUCAAUUCCUCAUUUACAAAAGAAAUUUUAAAAAAUACCCUCUGUUAUAAAUCUUCCUUUCCAACCUGUAAAUAGUCAACUUAGGUUUUCCACCUCGGAUAUACCUAGUUCCUCCAUACAUUCAGUUGACUAUGCAACUAGUGUUCCCCAUCCUAUCUACACUAGUCGCCAAAGCCAGGAAGAGAAGGAACCUUCUCCUCCAACUUCUCCUACAUUUUCUGCUGUUACUGAAAAUGUAAUAAAUGUUCUUGAAAAAGACUUUGAAUUAGAUAAAACUCUUCUUCAUAAUGAAUUUUAUUCUAAUUCCAAUGAAGAAAAAAAACUUUGGUUUUUCAAACAUUUCUUAAACCAAAGAAAAGAAAUUCAACAAGUUUAUUAUGAAUUUGUAAAUUUGCAUAAAGUUCAUAUAUUGUUUUUUGAUUGGUUGAGAUGUAUGCUCAGAUAACAAUAUAACUNNNNNNNNNNNNNNNNNNNNNNNNNNNNNNNNNNNNNNNNNNNNNNNNNNNNNNNNNNNNNNNNNNNNNNNNNNNNNNNNNNNNNNNNNNNNNNNNNNNNUUUCUGGUAGCGGAAAAAUCAUAGAAUCUGAGUAUCCACCUCUUAGGAGUCUGACCAUUGAACAUGGUGAACCUCCUGUUGAGAUUAAAGCCUCGCCCUAUAAGAUCCAUAAAGACCCAGAUACGGAUUUAGAUAGCAUCAUUCAACAGAAUAAUUUCUGUAAUGCUAAUCUAAAUACAAUAGGAAAACAGUUGACCCGUAUAGAAAGUCAAUUCCAGAAGUCAACCGUUAUUGUCCCUACUUCUACUCAAACAAAGUCUGAUUCCUUGAAAAAGCUUAAAGAACCUAUUUUCAAACCUUUUCAGGUUUCAAAACAUAGCCAAAAGCUUGUUCAAGAAUCUAAAUCAGAUUUUGCUAAAGCCAUUAAAGAACAACUUCAUAAAAUAGAAGCAUCUCCUUCUUUCGCUUCUACUUCUAAAGUCCAAAUUGCUCCUGAUAGUGCUCAAUCUAGUAAGAUUGGUGUACUAGAACAGGAUCAAUCUUCUAUAGCCUCUUCUGACAUAGAAGCUUUCAAAGAUGAGUCUAUUCCCAAAGCCAAUAAAAUCCAUUGGGAACUUGCUCUCCCAACUGUAAGAACUCCUCCAGACCUUGCCAUCGAUAAUAGACCAAGUGGUAUGUCUGAAUACAAUAUCCUAGGGUUGUUGCAACAGAUGACCAUGGCAGCCAAUGCCUAUAAAACUUAGUCGGGAACUUCUGACAAAGCCAUUGCAGAAAUUCUCAUCGCUGGUUUUACCAGUCAACUAAAAGGAUGGUGGGAUCAUCGUCUCACUAAACAGCAACAACUAGACAUCCUAAAUUCUGUCCAAGUAGACAAAAAUGGAGCCCCCAUUCUCGAUGAAUUCAAUAGUCCAAUUCAGGAUGCAGUUGCUACCCUGAUUCUGACUAUUUCUCUCCAUUUCAUAGGUGACCCUUCUCACCUUAGAGAUAAGAAUGCUGAGUUACUACACAAUCUGAGAUGUAGGAAACUUAGUGAAUUCUAAAGUUACAAAACCACUUUCUUUACCAGACUCUUCCUUUGGGAUGAUGCAAAUCAUACAACCUGGAAGGAAAAAUUUCUUGCAGGCUUACCUACCCUAUUGGGAGAAAAGGUUAGAAAUUUCAUUAAAGCCCUUUAUGAAAAUCGCAUUCCCUAUGAUGAGCUUACCUAUGGUGAACUUGUCAGUUUUGUCAAUAAGGAAGGAUUAAAGAUUUGUCAAGACUUGAAACUUCAGAAACGUCUAAAAUGGGAGCUUAGGAAAUCUAAGCAAGAACUAGGCAGUUUCUGUAAGCAAUUCAAUUAUGACCCCUUUAAAACCUCCACUUCUAAAUAUUGUAAUGGUAAGUGUUCUUCGAAACCUUACAAGAAACAUUACAAAUCAAGAAGUUAUAAAAAACCCUUCCAAGAAUUUAGAGAUCAACUUUCUUAUAAGAAACCCUCGAGGCCUUAUAAGAAGCCCAACUUCUCUAAAAGGAAAGAUUUCAGAGUCUUUUUAAAAGCCUUAGAUUAUGAAAUAUGGGAAAUAGUUUGUGAUGGUUCAUUCAUUCCUAGGAAGAAUGCUUUAAAUGAGUCGGAUAGGAAAAAUAUGUCUUUAAAUUCCAAGGCAAUGAAUGCUUUAUUUUGUGCCUUAGAUAAAAAAGAAUUUCAUAAAGUUUCAAAUUGUUCGAAUGCUUAUGAAAUUUGGAGAAAACUUGAAGUUUUGUAUGAGGAGACUACAAACGAGGAGGAAUCUUAUGAAAUGUCAAAUUUGGCACUUAUGACAAUUGGAGAUGAAUCGGAUGAUGAACAUGAUGAGGUAAGUGAUCUUCCUACAUAUGAUGAAUUACAUGAUGCUUUCAAAGAAUUGCAUGAUGAGUUGAUGAAAAUUGGUAAAAAGAAUGUAUGUCUUAAAAAGAAAAUGGUGGAGCUCAAAAAUGAAAAUGAAUAUCUAAGUGCAAAGAUUACAUGCCUAGAAUUAGAGAAUAAAACAUUGCAUGAUAAAGUUGUAUUAUCAAAUAAGAAACUUGGCACUUCACACGAGCAUCUAAAAUCACAUGUAGAUGACUUGAAAAAUGAAAAGGAUACUUUACGAAAAUACAAUGAUUCAUUAAAUGAAAAGGUUAAAGGACUAGAAUUAGAGAAUAAAACUUUGCAUAAUAGAGUUGCAUUAUCAAAUGAAAAACCAAGCAUUUCACAUGAGCAUCUAGAGCCACAUGUAAAUGAUUUGAAAAAAGAAAAUAAAAUGCUCAAGAAAACGAACAUUGAACUUAGUGAUGUUAUGUUAAAAUUCACAAAUGGGAAAAAGAUAUUGGAUAACUUGCUUAAUUCACAAAAAAUGUGUGAUUGACAAAGAAUGUAUUAGCUAUAAGCCAAAUUUAAAACAAAAAUAUUAUAAGAAUUAUUUUGUGAAGAGUAGCUUCAUUAACAAUCAAGUUGUAUGCCACCAUUUCCAUCAAGAUGGUCACAUGAAGAAUAGAUGUCCAAUUAAAAGAAAUGCAUAUUGUGGAGUAAAAUGUGUUUGGGUUCCAAAAGGAACCAUUACUAACACUCAGGGACCCAAGAGUAUUUGGGUACCAAAGGGCACAACGUGAAUGUUUUCUUUGUAGGUACCACAAUCAAGGAAUGGUAGACAGUUUCUUAAUAAAAGCUUAUGAGGAUAAUCACUUGAUCAUGAUCUAAGAGAAAAUGAUGAGUAAGAUGAUUUAAUUACUUUGGUGACAAUUUUGCCAUAUUGAUUUUUUUGAAUGGAUCAUGAUGGAUAGAUAAUAGCUUGAAUUUGGGAAAGCAUGCUAGUAUGUUACAUAAUUGAAUUAUUAUUGUGUGUAAUCAUGAUGUAUGGAUAGAUAUAUAUGAUGGUAGCAUGUCAACUUAUCAUGAUGCCUUUGUUUGAUUUUGAUAAUUGUAUGAUCUUUGAUUUCAUCUUUUUAAUUGUCUAUCAUCAUGUUUUAUGUCAUUUAUUCAUUUUCCUUAUUUGUUCAUCACUUAUGUAUAUAUGCAUAUGUCAUAUAUCACCUAUGUGAGCAUUUGUAAUAAUGGAUUUGACCACUUGUUCUUUAGCUCAUAAUGAUGGUUUUUCUUAAUAGUUAUGUUGAUUUUGAUGAUCUAUAUAUUGCCAUAUGUUGAUUUUGAUGAUCUAUAUAUUACCAUUAUGUACUUAUGUUUUACUUAAGUUUUGAUGAUAAAGAAUAUGCUUUGAUGAUUACAUUGUAUUUGAUGAAAUUUGAUCUUAUGCAAUCUAUGAUUGGUGAAUGGAUGCAUUUUUUGUCCUUUAUCGAUGUAUUAUUGAUUAUGCAUUACUUGUUUUAAAUGAUGCCGAAAGGAGGAAAAAUACAUAUACUUCGAGACUUUUAAGCAUAUAAGAUAUUUUAAGUUAUAUUGAAAUGGCACAUUGGAUCUUGAUGAGUUUAGUUGUCUUGAUUUCUAAAACGUGAUUAGUAAGUAUGGAGCUUGGAUAGUUGAUAAUAUGUUCUUAUAACCUUUGCAUGCCAGUUUGGUAAAAAAAUCAAAACCUCUUUGCUAAUAACAAUUUUCAAAAAUUCGGCAUAAACUUGGGAUGAUGAAAUUUACUAAUAUCUCUAAUCAUGUUAUUAAUACUAUUAAAAUUGAUUUCUUAAUGAUUUUGAUGAUUGAUGAUUAUAUGUGUGUUCCUUGAUAAAUUGAUGGAGUUGUUGGUUUGUUAUAUUUUUUUAAACUUAUAUGGAAGUGUUUUUAACCAUGUUGCAUAUUUGAGGAUUUGUUCAUUUUUAAGGGGAGACUCUGCCGAAAUUUUUGCUCGCACAAAAUGGGUAAUAUCUUCAUCGAAUUAUUUUUUAUGAUCUUGUUUCGAUUGCAUCUAUCUAUCUUUUCUUUUCUUUUUAUGAUGAAGGGAGAGAUAAAUAUGAUAUUUUUUGGAUAAAAUUAUUUUGGUUAAAAUUUUAAAUUAGCCAUAUAUUUAGGGGGAGCAUACAAUAUGAUUUUGGAUAAUAUGUAUUUUGAACUUUUUUGUUGUUCAAAGGGGGAGACAAAGUAAUAUAUCAUUUCGAUGUUGUCAAAAGGAGAAGAAUAAUAUGCACUUUGAAUAUUGUUUUGAUGAUUGAUAUAUGAAUAUGGUGAUGAUUUUGAUGAUUUUGGGAUGUGAUGAUGAUUUGAUUACACGGUUGUUUUAUAUGAUAGUUUUAUGUUAUGAGUUGUUGAUUUGGUAAUUGAUGGAAUAAUGGUUCAUGAUCUUUUUAUGGUUGAUGGAUUGUGCGAUGAUUUGUAUAUGGAGUUGACUUGUAUCAUGAUUUAUAAUAAUUUGGGAGUAAUAUUACUAAACUUGUAUUUGAGGUGAUGCUUGUUGUUAGGGGGAGAUUCUAUCCAAAUUUCUACUCAGACAACAUGGAUAACAAAUUUGCUACUCUUUUUCUUUUCUACUAAGUUUUCUUUUUUCUGAUGAAGGAAGAGAAGAAUACAUGUAUUUAAAUUUGUUAAUUUAGCUAAUUGGUAAAUUGUAAAAGAAGCUUACAUUUAGGGGGAGCAAUUUGUAGAAUCAUUCUUUAAAUACAUGAAAUGUUUGUCAUCAUAAAAAAAAGGGGAAGAUUGUUAACAUAUAUGUUUCCAUAAUGUUGAUUUUGAUGAUAACAAACAAGAUUAAGAAUGAUUAAGUUUUUAAAAGUUCAAAUUAUUUUUUAUAUAUUUUUAAUAAAUCAUUAUUUUCACAUUAUAAAAGUUUUUUAUUUAAUAGAAAAAUGAUUUUAUGAAAUUGGUUGUUUUUCAAGUUUAUGGUUUAAUUGAAAGAGCUUUAAAAACUUUAAAAUCAACAAGUAUUGCUUGGAAUUUUGGAGAAGGAACUUAUUUGAAAAGUUUCCUAGGGUUUUAGGUCAUAUCAUAAUUUCAUAAAGUUUUGGGAAUAACAAGUAUUAUUUAGAAAUUUUGAAAUUGGAUAUUUUUGUAAAGUUUUAUGACUUUUUGAGCCAUAGUAUAAUUUUAUAAAGAUUGGGGCAAACUGUAAUUUUGGAAAAAAAAUCAUUGUAGCAAAGCGGCUAACCGGAUUCAUGAAAGUGGCAUACCGGAUGUGCAAAAAUUUAAAAUUUUGAACAUAAAGGUAACAUGAAGCGGCUAAGCGAAUUCACAAAAGCAGCAAGCCGGUUAUCACCAAAAAGUCAAUAAUGGCUAGUUUUCUUCCUCAACUAUAAAUUGGCUCAAAUCAAACUCAUUCAAGAUGAUGCAACCAUUGAUAUUUUGAGCAUUUUCUCUGCAAAUCUAAAAGAAUAAACGUUGUGUAUUUAUUUCAUUUAUUCACACAUAUUGGGCUUUCAUUUGUAUUCAAACACAUUUUGUGAGAGAAAUUUUUAUAAUCCUUUUUGUAAAAUCAAAUUGAGAGGUUGUAAGUGUUGGGAUACACUUGGGUUAAGAGAUUGUGGAUAAUCUCUUGUUGUAAAGGUCCAUUGACACCUUGGAAGUCAAUUGUAAGCGUUUAAAACCUUGGAAGGCUUGGAUAAUGAAAUCCUCAUGGAUUUCAACUAAAUUUGCUUGCUUCAAUAAUAAAAUUUACAAUUAUAUCGACAUUAUGUGUUAAAAUGCUACAUUUGGCUAUUGACAACAACAACAAAAAUUAAUAAUUACCAAAAAUAAGCAAAAGCAAAAAAUUUAAAAAGAAAUACACAGAAAGGAAUGAAAAUUAUCUUUGAUUGAUCAGGUCGUAGCUAAGGCGGCGAUGGGCAGUUAAGUCCGGUGAAAAAUCUGAUCGUUGACGAGAAGGGGUUAGCGGCUAGCAGCAAAGCUUGCUCUUUGGCAAGAGGCAAUAUCGAAUUUGAUGGUGGUGGAGCUUGAUUGUUGUUUGUUGUUCUUAAUAAUAAUGGAUAAUGAACUGACGAUGAUUUAAAUUGAUGAUGUAUUGAUGAACCAUUGAAUUAAUAUUGAGCGUUGGGGAUGAGGAAGAUGAAGAUUGAGGUGGCGGCUAGGGCUUGUUUUACUCAAUUUUUUUUCCCUAAGGUGGCGGCUGGUGUGUUUGUUUUCUUUUACUUUAGGGUUUCUAGGUUUGUUUUGUUUGCUUUUAAGCUUUGCAACAAAAAUUAAUUAAUAAAUGAAUUAUAAAAACAGUGUAGUCUGGGUCUGGGUUCUGGAAAUUCGGGUUCACCCAAACCCGGAACCAGACCCGGAUAUGUCCGGGUUUUAAAAAAACAAACCGGAUCCGCAUUAUUAAUGCAUCCGGUACGGGUUGAACCCAGAUCGGAUCGUUCAGGUAUUUUCGAGUCCCAACCGGGUCCAAAAAAAUUUGCCAUCCCUAACGGCAGCACCACUGGAAUUGGCAGCGAAAAGCAUAAAGGAAUAAGGGGUUUCUUUUGGAUUUUUUUCAUUAGACACCCUACUGUCUUACUAAUUUAUGUUUGCUACCAAAGUUUGAAAUUGUGUUGCAUUUAAGUCCAAUAGUAUAUGUUGGUGGCGGCUGGAAGAAAAAUAAGUGAUUUAGGGUUUUGGGUUUAUACCCCAUGGCACCCUACAAUUUCAUUAUUUUACGGUUCCGCCUAAGUAUUUUGGGUUUUGGGCAGAAAAAUUCAAAAUUAUUUAUAUUGGAUGCAAGCCCAUUAUUGACUAUCAAUUGGAUAAUAUAAAUAGAAAUUUGAUAACCCCAAUUGUUAUUAUUUGUCCAAAUUUAUUUAUAUUGGUCCCAAGCCCAUUUAAGGAAUUUCAAAAUUGGGUUAUAUAAAUGAAAAUUUGGUAGAUCAAUAAUAAAAUUUAUUUGGCACAAGAAUUUUUGAAGAUAAAUUUGGGCUUAUUAUAUUAAACUAAUUGGGUCUGGAUUAUAUUUAUAAAAAAAGGUAUUUAAAAAUAAGACCCAAUAGAAUUUUUAUUUAAAAGGUGGCCAAAUUUAAAUUUAAAAAUUGAACCAAGGAUAAAAUUUUAAAAGCCUAAAAAUCCCCAAGCCAAUAAUUAUGGAUAAGAACAAUACAAGGAAAAGAAAGAAAGAUGGAUAUUGUCUUGAAGCCCAGUAGAUAUUAGGCUUAUAGAUUAAGUCGAUUUUUUCUUAGGAAAAUCAUGAAUUGAGAUUGUUUAAUUGCUUUUAUCUAUAUGCUAUGUUUGGUUGAUAACAUGCCAUGAUAACAUGUCAUAUAGAAUAGGAAGUGUCACUCAAUGCAUCAUAAUACUAGUAUCAUAAAAUAUAUGGCAUCUAUAAAUUAUGAAUGCAGAUAUAUAUAUAUAUAUAUAUAUAUAUAUAUAUAUAUAUUGUUUGACAUUUGCACGUGCUUAAUAAUAUUAUAUUGCUUCUAAAUAAUAUUAUUUUGAGAAGCAUGCAAUUAACAAUAUAGGAUAUAAUCUGUAUAUGUUUGAAAGGAAAAAAAAACCUUUAAAAUAUUGAGUGGGAGAGGGAAAAUUCAAGAUAAUUUUUUCCACGGGCUUCAUUGUUAGUUCAAUAAUAAAAUUAUAUAUAUAUAUACCUCGACUUCAUGAUAUAGUGUUACUCCCUACGGAGGGUAUAUAUAUUAGACAUUUUAUUUGAUGAACUUCUUUACAGAUAAGAUCGAAAUAUUUUUCAAUCUGUUGAUCACCCUAACGGUGGCUGCAUGAUAUGAAAGAUACGUAUAUUGAAACAAUGGUUAUACACUCAACAAAAAUUUGUUAUUAGCCUUCCUAACGAAGCUCUGUUAACAAAUUUUGGCCCUAAAAGAUAACGAUAAUUAUUUAUCAUGUUUUUGACAUGAAAGUAAAUAAUCUAGUGGUUAAUUGUGUCUAAUAAGUGUAGACAUUUCUUCCCCAACGACUAUCUUGCCAAAUCGGUACUAGAUUAUUGUUACAAAAAAAUAAAAUGCAUUUAUGGUUUUUUGCAUUUUAAAUUAUUUAUUGUGGACAUUAUUUGUUUCGAAGUGUUUAUACAUAUCUAUUUUAUUUUUCAGAAAAUGUCUUUCCUAAGCCCACUCAUCAUUAUUAUGAGUCGAAAUAAACUCACUGGCGAGAACAACAUAGAUUGGAAAUGAAAUCUAUUUACAAUCCUAACUGCUAAAAAUUAUAAAUAUAUCUUAACCCAGCCAUGCCCUUCUAAACCAAUAGAGGAUCCUAGUAGAAAUCAAAGGAGGCUUUAUGAGAAAUGGCAAAAUGCUACAUUUUAUCCUCGAUUUCUAAUAUUCUGCAGACCAAACAUCAGAACAUAGAGACAGCCGCUAAAAUAAUAGAAAGUCUCCAAUAGAUGUUUGGGCAGAGUACUUAUAACUUUAUGAAAUGAGAGUUAUCAUGACACUUUUAGACUUAAAUAAAUAAUACUUAGAGAGUAAAUGAGGUGUUUUCAUUGUAUUUUUGUUAUAUUUUGCAUAAACAUUCAUUUUAAUUUAGUCUUAAUAAAUUUUGCUUGAUUUAGAGUAAUUCGUGCCCAAAUUGUGUGCUUAAUUGUAGGUGUCCAGAAGCUUAUCUUUCACGGAAGGGAUGUUGUUGCAAUAGGCUCGCAAAAAUGAGGAAGAACAUGGCUACAUAAAAAUUGAAACAAAAUCUAGAACAAUGUGGUGUUGUAGCCGUUGCUGGAGCAGCCAUUGCUGUAGCAAUCCUGAAACAACGACAGAGAAAAUUUAGCGCGGGAUAUAUGCAGAAUCGAUAUCUGCAGUUUCCUAAUCUGUCUUAUGCGCGCCCUAGGCUUCUGUUUACCCUAGUUUUCAGAUAUAAAAAGAGCACGCAUCAUAUGAAAAAAGGGCGGCAAAUUAACAUUGGAGAAAUCAAAGGGAAAAGGAGAACAAAAUCAGAAUUCACGGGAAAGCAAGUUUGCACCAGUGAAGAUAAACCCGCAGAGCUAUUGUGGAUUCAAUUUUCAUCGUUCUUUACUUGUUUCUUUACUUACUCUUUGAUUGAACCGAUGUAUUUCAUGGCUAAUAUUUUGCUGUUUAUUUUUCUUUUUCUAGGUAUGAACUAAAUUUGAUUGUAGUUGAGUGACAAACAAUCUAAAUGGGUUUUUACUGUUCUUAUGAGUUGCUGCAAGAUUGUUGUAGUGUUUUACUCUAAUAGCUAUUAUUAUAAUCAUUAUUUCAAUUGACCACCCAUUUAAUGGUUCAAGUUAAGAUAGAGCCGCAAAAGGGCAUGUCUUAGUGGAAAUUAUUAAAGUAAUACUUGAUCUUAAUUUAAGUUUCUUGGACUAAGAUUACUUGAGUCCCAAAAGGGCUAUAUUUGAGUUAAGAUUUGUAAAGAACUAGACAUAGGAAUUCACCUUGUAAGAUAGAGAGAGUGUAUGCUCAUAAUGCCAUACCGUAUGUGGCUUAACAAUUGGUCAUUAUUAGGGUGCUUAAGGGUAUGAGAAAUCUGAUAUGCGACAGCUGAGGAUGCAAAAUAAUUAUGCCCAGUGUCGUACGAAUUGUUGUAGCAACUGGUGUUAAUUUAGACAAAGUCCAUCGAGAGAGUUUGAUCACUUAACUACCUCAUUCCCAUUGAAAUCUUUUUAUGCAAUUCAUUUAAUUUGUUUUAUUACUGCAUUGAUUUAUUUUAUUUUUUCUUUUAUUGUCUAUUUCGGUAGUAAUUUACUUUUAAUUAGAAUCUUUUUGGAACAAAUGAAGUUUGCACUAUCAUGAUUGUUGUAGCAUUUCUAGUAACAUCAAUCCCUGUGGAGACGAUCUUGAAUAUUAAUCACUUUAUUACUUAUUGUGUCCACUUGCACAUUGACGUCAAUAGCAAUUAAGUUAAAAAAUAACCAACAAGUACUCACUCUGCGAGACAAGCGGUGCUGAAAGGUGUUAUGAACUCCAAGAUGGGAAAUGGUAUAAGAGUUCGUGAUCAUGUCUUGAAAAUGAUGGACUAUUUAAAUGAGGCUGAGAUUCAGGGUGCACAGAUCGAUGAUAAUUCAAAGAUUGAGAUGGUGCUAGAAUCUCUGCCUGAAACAUUCAAGCAGUUUAAGGUCAAUUAUAAUAUGAAUAAAAGAAAUAUGACCUUAACAGAAUUGAUGAACGAACUCCAUUCAGGUGAAGAGAUUUAUCUUGCUGAAAAAUCUCAAGGAAGCAUUAACCUUACUAAAAAAAUACUUUUUCNNNNNNNNNNNNNNNNNNNNNNNNNNNNNNNNNNNNNNNNNNNNNNNNNNNNNNNNNNNNNNNNNNNNNNNNNNNNNNNNNNNNNNNNNNNNNNNNNNNNNNNNNNNNNNNNNNNNNNNNNNNNNNNNNNNNNNNNNNNNNNNNNNNNNNNNNNNNNNNNNNNNNNNNNNNNNNNNNNNNNNNNNNNNNNNNNNNNNNNNNNNNNNNNNNNNNNNNNNNNNNNNNNNNNNNNNNNNNNNNNNNNNNNNNNNNNNNNNNNNNNNNNNNNNNNNNNNNNNNNNNNNNNNNNNNNNNNNNNNNNNNNNNNNNNNNNNNNNNNNNNNNNNNNNNNNNNNNNNNNNNNNNNNNNNNNNNNNNNNNNNNNNNNNNNNNNNNNNNNNNNNNNNNNNNNNNNNNNNNNNNNNNNNNNNNNNNNNNNNNNNNNNNNNNNNNNNNNNNNNNNNNNNNNNNNNNNNNNNNNNNNNNNNNNNNNNNNNNNNNNNNNNNNNNNNNNNNNNNNNNNNNNNNNNNNNNNNNNNNNNNNNNNNNNNNNNNNNNNNNNNNNNNNNNNNNNNNNNNNNNNNNNNNNNNNNNNNNNNNNNNNNNNNNNNNNNNNNNNNNNNNNNNNNNNNNNNNNNNNNNNNNNNNNNNUAAGUGAAUGAAGCGUCCAAGUUGCAGUUAGGGACAGGGCCAGUUUGUUUCAAUGGUGAAAACUAUAUCUGUUUUAUUAUGUUUUAAUAGUAAGACUUUAAUUUUAAAUAAUUGUCUUUAUGUUCCAGACAUUAAGAGGAAUUUAAUUUCAGUAGCUUGUUUGUCUAAACAAUGGUACACUAUAAAUUUUAGUUCCUCUCUUUCUAUUUUGAAAAAUAAUAGACUAGUAUGUUCUGGUACAUUGGAAGAUAAUUUAUAUCAUUUAAGUCCUCUGAUCCAUUCUAUGCAUGACACAAUGAUUGAAAAUAAUGAGCAUAUGCACUUAUCUAAGAAAAGAAAAAUUUCUUUUAACCAAUGUUACCUCUUGCAUAUACUCUUAGGUCAUAUAAACCUAAAUAGGAUACAAAGAAUGAUCAAAGAUUGACUUUUAGGUCCAUUGGAAAAUAAAUCAUUGUCAUUCUGUGAAUCUUGUUUAGAAGGAAAAAUGACUAAAAUGCCUUUCUCGCUAAAGGAAUACGUGCAACAGUACCACUUCAAUUAGUAUAUAUAGAUGUAUGUGGACCAAUCAAUGUACAAGUUUGAGGAGUUUAUGCGUAUUUCAUCAUAUUCAGUGAUGACUAUUCAAGAUACGGUUAUGUUUAUCUAAUGCGUCAUAAAUCUGAAGCUCUUGAAAAAUUUAAAGAGUACAGGAUUGAGAUCACCAGCACAUGUGCUAAAACCAAAGGCAGACAAAAUGGAUUCACGUUCUGAGGUUUGUAUGUUUGUUGGGUAUCCCAAAAGAACAAUAGGAGGUUUAUUUUAUAGUCCUCGUGGCAGAAAAGUAAUUGUGAGUACACAUUUCACUUCUUUUGAAGAAAACUAUAUGAAUAACUUCAAACCAAAGAGUAAGGCAAUACUAGAAGAGUUAUUAGGAGAUAAUGUUAAUGCUCAGAUUUCGGUACCUAUUAAUCAACAAGAAGAAGACCAAUAAUAUGAACAUCGCAAUAUUACCCCUGAACAGUAAUCAUCUAUAGAACCUCGUCGUAGUGAGAGGGUAAUUAGAUUACCAGCACGGUACAUGUUACUAGGAGAAACUUAUACAACCAUCUCAGAUGGACAAGUAUAGGAUCCCACUAGCUAUAAUGAAGCUCUAUUAGAUGGAGAUGCUGAAUUAUGGAAAAACACUAAGAACCAAGAAAUGGAAUCUAUGAAUUCCAAUAAAGUCUGGAAACUUAUAGAGGCACCAAAUAGGUUUAAACUCAUAGGGUGUAAGUGGAUCUACAAGAGAAACAUGGGAGUAGAUGGAAGGGUGGAAACAUUUAAAGUAAGAUUAGUAGCCAAAUGGUAUACUCAGAAAGAGGGAAUCGAUUAUGAGGAAACAUUUUCACCGAUUGCUUUGCUUAAAUCCAUUAGGAUUCUACUCUCCAUCAAUGCAGUGUUGGAUUAUGAAAUUUGGCAAAUGGAUGUCAAAACUGCGUUUCUUAAGGGGCAUUUUGAAGAAGACAUCUAUACACAGCAACCAUAUGGGUUCAUUAAAAAAGGCCAAGAACACAUAGUAUGUAAGUUACAAAAAUCUAUUUAUGGAUUAAAGCAAGCAUCUCGAUCAUAAAAUAUCAAAUUUGAUCAAAUAAUUAAAACAUUUGGAUUCAUACAGAAUAUUGAUGAGCCAUGUGUAUAUAAGAAAAUUCAGGGAAAAACUAUAGUUUUUCUUGUUCUUUAUGUAGAUGACAUUCUCUUAAUUGGAAACGAUAUCGAAGUAUUAUCAUUAAUAAAGAAUUUGUUGGCUAAAUAGUUUGAUAUGAAAGACCUAUGAGAGGCAAGCUAUAUUCUUAGGAUUAAAUUGCUUCAAGACCGGAAGAAUAAAACUUUAGCCUUAUCCCAAACUGCUUACAUUGAUAAGAUACUAGCUAGAUUUGGCAUGGAAUUACAUUCUCCAAAGAUCAGUCGCCUAAGACACCUGAGGAAAGAGAAAAAAAAAAUAAAGCGAGUUCCCUAUGCAAAAGUUGUGGGAAGUCUCAUGUAUGUCAUGCUAUGUACUGGACUAGACAUUUGUUUUGUAGUACGGAUGGUCAGUAGAUAUCAAUCUAAUCUUAGUCCUGAACACUGGACUGCAGUCAAGCAUAUGAUUAAGUAUUUGAAAAGAACUAAGAAUUAUAUGCUUGGGUAUUCUGGUGAUGAUCUCAUUCCAGUGGGUUACACUGAUUCUGACUUCAUGUCAGAUAAAGAUUUCAAAAAAUCAACUUCUGAUUAUGUGUUUAUAUUAUGAUAUGGAGCUAUAAGUUGAAGAAGUGUGAAACAAAGUUGUAUCGUAGACUCCACAACAAAAGCUGAAUAUAGGGCUGCAUCUGAAGCUGCUAAAGAAGUUGUUUGGCUCCGUAAGUUCCUACAAGAUCUUGAGGUGCACCUUUUAAACUAUUUUGUGAUAAUAGUAGAGCAGUGGCUCAGUCUAAGGAACCAAAAAACCACAGGAAGCAAAAACAUAUUGAAAGGAAAUACCAUCUCAUAAGAGAAAUAAUGCAGAGAGGUGAUGUAGAGGUUACCCAAAUAGACCUAAAAAAAAAAUGACAGAUAGUAUCAGAGCAGCUCCUCGUGUCCUCUUGAGCGAUAUUGGGGCAAACCUCAGCGAGGACGCUGAGUCCCUCAAGGCGGUGUAUGUAACACCCUAAGCGAAUCCCACAUCGGCAAAUCACGGGAGAGAUGUUGGGUUUAUAAGGGUGAUCCACACCUUAAUUGGCAAGACGCGUACUGGGGUGUAUAGGCGCCCCAGAAACAAAACCAUGCGGGCCUUGUUAAGGCCCAAAGCGGACAAUAUCUUGCCAAGAUUAGGUUGGGUCAUGACACUAACAACAUCUUCGAAGCUCAAAACCACUUAAAGUCUACUCCAGAGAGUAUUAUAUCCUGCACUAACAUAUUUCAAGUGACCCAUUGUUUUCAUAUUCUCCUAGUUCUUUAGUUUGUCUUCCUAGAAAAAUCAUAAUAAUGCCUAUAUAUAUACAUAUUAGUAUAUGAAUGCUCUCUUCUCUAAUCAAGCUAAAAACACUGACAAACAAGUCGUUGCUUCCUUGUUCUAUUGUAAGUUGUAAUUUGUUAUUGUCGUGCCAAACUUGCAUAAAUAUAAUUUUGGAAAAUAUGUUGUUAAGCAAAACUAAUAAAAGGUAGGUUCUUUAUUCCUCUAUUUCUAUCGGCCUAUUAUUAAACAUGAUGUGAAACUAACUCAUUCAUUGGCUGAGUUUUGUCAAUUCAAACUAUCUUUUAAUGUUUUUGCACAGAUGAAAUCCAAUUUAUCAAUAGAAAAGAAACUUAUAAACCAAUUUUAUAAAUGACUUAACUUAAGUAUUUCCAAUCAAACAAGCUUAAUUUUUAUAAGUUAAACCCUAAUUUAGAAAUAAAAAGUAAAUUGAGAAUCAAACCUACAGCUUGAAGAUCCAAGAGCAGUAUUCUUGCGCAGCGUAGUGAUUAAUGGGCUAUGGUGUCUGACAGUGUAGUGUUAGCGAAAUUGUGGUUCGUAUGACAGGAUGGUAAUAGAGUUGGUGUGUCUCACGGCAAAGCCAGCUAGCGUGAUAGUGAUAGAGUAAAGCUAGCUGGCCAAUUUUGUUGGCAAAUAGAGAUGAGCAGUGAUCAAGUGUUUUUCUAUUUUUUUCUUUGUUUUUGUUUUGUUAAAUGGCAAGAAACAUGUAUAAACCCAACCCCCUAUGGGUUUACUUUAUGCAGGUUUUGCCACAUCAUAAUGUUACAAUAUCUAAUAAAGCCCAAACAUGAUAUAGUAAUUUAUUAAUACAAUACAAACUCUUAAUACAGCAUUAUGAGUGCUACCAAACAUGCCUGUAGAACAUUAUAUCCAUCUUUAUCUGUCAAAAACUUAAGAAGAGGAAGUGAAUAUCCACAUUUGUAAAGUUGAUUAUCCAUGAUCACAUACCUUGCAAUUUGGUAUCUCACCUUCUUAUAUUCAUUCUUGUCCUUAGGUAAAGUUCCAUUCAUAAGCUAACUUAUGAUUGGAUCCAUCCAGAAAAUUCAAUGGUCAAUGGUUACUUUUUCAUUUUGUUCGAAUUUGAUUAUGCUUGGCUUUGGGAUGAUGACUACUAGAACUAAUCUUAGAAAGUUUUUCUCAGGCAAGAAAGCCAGUUGAGCCAAAGCAUCAAGUCGUGUGUUUUCCUUCUAAGAAAUUUGUUUUACCUUGUCGUUAAAGUCCCUUAGUAACUCAUUACCUUCAUCAAGAUAUGUAAUCAAGUUGAAAUCCCGAGCUGUAUAGUUGCAAUUCACUUGAUUAACCACUAAUUAUAGUCACUAAAAACAAGCAAAUCAUUUGCACGCAAUGCUCGAACUAACCUAAAGCUGGCAAGAAGAGCCUCAUACUGUACCUCAUUCUUAGUAACAUUGAUGCGAUAUUUAAAAGCACAUCUAAUCUCAAUGUUGUUUAGGGUGAUCGCUAUAAAUCCCUCACCACAUCAUCAUUUCCUAGAGGAUCUAUUACCGUAAAGAGGCCAUUUAUCAUGAUGUUCUUUUUCAAUAUCAAGUGAUAUUAUCACUUCUUUAAUAAAUUCAGCAAUAAAGUUUGUCACUACUUGUCUUUUUAAUGAUGUCCUACGAUAAUACAAGAUAUCAAACUCUCCAAGCUCAAUAAGCCACUUCAUCAUCAGGCUUAGCCAAGACUUGUUGAAUUAGUUGAUUAGUAAGAACAAUUAUGAUAUGAACAUACAAGUAAGGUCUUAGCUUUCUUGCUAAAACAAUCAAGGUUAGGACAAUCUUAUUAAGACUUAUGUAGUAUAUAGGCCUUUGCACUCCAUUAUCUUCUCAGAUAAGGAUAAAGUUAGUGGUGUGUUUAGACAUCACAAGAUAGAGAAGAAUGACUCAUCUUGGAUUAGCUUAACAAGCAAAAAGGGACUUCUUAAAUAUUCUUUAAGUUUUUUAAAAGCUUUUCCAUAUUCCUUUGUCUACUUCAUCUCGUUUCAUUUGCUAAGAGCCUUGAAGAAAUGAAAGCAGUUAUCUAUGGCUCGAGAGACAAAGCAAUUCAGGGCUGCUACUUGACCCGUCAACCUCUAAAUUUCUGUAACAUUCUUUGGAGACUUCAUGUUAACCAAUGCUUGAAUCUUCUCAAGAUUGAUCCCAAUACCUCUUUGAUUUACCAUAAAGCCAAAGAUUUUCUUAAUGAUAUACAAAUGCAUAUUUAGUUGGACUUAAUCUCAUUUUGUACUUCUUAAGAACAUUAAAGGUAUCCCAUAAAUCUUUUAAAUGAUCUUUAGGUGUAAAACUCUUGGUAAGCAUGUCAUCUACAUAAACUUCCAUAGUAUGCCCAAUUUGUUGAACAAAGGUAGUAUUUACUAAUCUCUGAUAGGUGACCUCUCUGAUAGGUGGCCCCAAUGUUCUUGAGUCCAAACGACAUAACUUUGUAGCAAUAAGGACCUCGAUUAGUGAUGAAGGUGGUCUUCUCUUAGUCAGGGUUCAUGCAUCAUUAUCUGAUUAUAUCGUGAGUAUGCAUCUAUAAAGCUUAGCGAUACAUGCCAAGUUGUUGCAUCUACUAAUUGAUCAAUCCUUGGUAAAGGAAAACAAUCUAUUGGAUAAGCUUUGUUAAGAUCAGUAGAGUUAAUGCACAUCCUCUAUUUUCUAUUAGUUUUCUUCACCACCACAAUAUUGGCUAAACACUUAAGAUAUCUUGCCCCUUGAUAAAACCAAGCUUAAAAAGUUUAUCUAUUUCUUCUUUCACAGCUAAAGAUCUUUCGGCAUUUAGGCUACUUCUUUUCUAUCAAAUCAAUUUUAUCUUUGGGUUAGUACUUAAUCAAUGGACUAUCACCCUAGGAUCAAUACUCAGUAUAUCUUUAUGUAUCUAAGUAAACACAUCGUGAUAUUCUUUGAGAAAUUUAACAAAUUUUUUCUUCAAUUGAUCAGUCAAUUGACAUCUACUACCUUAGUUAGAUCUUCACCAAGCAGAAAGUCAUCUAAGUCAUUAAUUAGACUUGCUCAUUGAUCAUCUUUGACUAUUCUAGGAUAAAGGCAUUUGAUUUGAAGAGUUUCAUUGCCCAUUCUAAAUGAUAUAUCAUAGCACUCCUUUACUUCCUUUUGCUCACCUUUCAGAACUUCAACUUCAACUUUAGUUGGAAACUUCAAUGUAUAAUGGUAAUUCAAAUCUUUCGCUUUUAUUAUACAAAGAUUUAGCGUUCUUAAGAUGGAGUUAUAGGAACUUGUUUGAUCAACUACAAUAAAAUUAACUAUAGCGGUUACAUUGGUCAAACAUUUUCCAAAGAAACUACGAGCUCGAUAACUCCAUUAGGAACUACACUUCCUUUGAUGAAUUCAUCAAGUGUAGCAGUGUAAGGUUUCAAUUGUGAUCUUUCCAACCCUACUCGGACAAAGGUUGACAAGAAUAAAAUCUCAACUGAACUCCCAUUAUUCAUGAGAAUUAGAUGGAGUUUGCUUGCCACAAAGAGGGUGAUAUCUAAUGCAUCACAAUGAGGAUGAUGAACUCCUCUAGCAUAAUUCUCGAAGAAUAUUAUUACUAUGUCAUCAACUAUUGUCACUUCCCAUUCCUGAGUAAAUUAUCCAGUUUCUUAGAUAACUAUUGAGUGCAUUAUUGUUUCCUCUGAAGUAUCUCCUCAAAUGUAGUAUUGCUCUCCAAAGGUUGCUAUUUGCUGAUUCAUCGAAAUAUGAUGACUCUUCCAAAACGAAAAUCAAUCUUAAGAUUAUAUAGGUAGCAAUAUAGAUCGUGCCAUAAUAGACUCGAUCUAGGAUAGUCUCAGUAGAUUUUUAAUAUAAAUAUCAUAAUUCUAAUUGGAAUAUACGUAUAAAAGAAAAAGGAACAUUGCAUAUAUUAUGGUGACUUACUGCAUCUAGAUAACAACUUAUCGUUAAUCAAAAGUUUCAACUUCAUUUAUCAAGUACUGCAGAGGUUGCUGCACCAUGCGUAUGGUUGCUUACCAUAUGAUGAGUGAACUUCUGUAUCGUUUGCAUUGUAUUUGUGUCUCCACUAUUUGUGAUUCAAAAUUUUCUUUUGAUGGGAGCACACUUGUGAUUAGCAAUUAAAUAAAUAAAAGAUUAUUAAAUAAAUUCCCACUAGAAAAUGAGACACCGUAGAUGGCUGUAUAUAUUUUUUUACUAAUUAUGUGAUCGUAAAAAAAAACAAAAAUUGAUGCCCAUCAUUCAAAAAUAAAUAAACUAUAAGUGAUUAAGACUAAUUUUUUUUAUCAUUUGCUAAUAAUGUCAGUGUUAAUCUAAGUUUUGUACUGAUCUUUUAAAAAAAUGUGACAGUAGUUAUUGGAGAAUUAAAUUUUAACCGUACAUUAAUAUUGUAAAAUACAGACAUCACAUAAGAUUGAUUAUUAAAACAUAAACACAACAAAUUGAGUAUCGAAUCAAAAUUUAAAUGUAAAACUUGCUUCGAAAUGAUCAAACGAGGUACAAUUCUUAGAAUUAAUGGGCAUUCACAGGCUACUUAUAGAACUCCAUAACCCAUAAAUUACAAGUAAAACAUUCAAAUCUGAUGCCACUAAAUCCAGCUCCAGCAGCCAAGGUCAUGAAUUCAUGCUUUGUUCGCUCCUUUCCUCCCGGAUUUUGAGUCAUCAUCAGCACAUCAAUUUGGGAAUUUCUUUUUGAUAGAGUGCUAGUCUCAGGCAGAUCUGGAAGUAUUGACUCCACAACAAUUACCUUUCCAUCUUCUGGAAUACUUUUGUAGCAAUUCUUCAACAACUUCAAGCAAUGUUCAUCGCUCCAAUCGUGCAGUAUCCACUACAAAAUGUGAAAUAUUAUGAAAUUUGUUUAAUAUCUGCAAAGUAAAUUCAAAUUAAACUUACCUUCAUCAAGAUGGCAUCACCUUUUGGAACACUUUGAAACAUAUCACCCCCUGCAUGCUCAACGCCUGUACUACACACAAUUUAAUUUCCUCUGUUAGAAUCUGGCGUUACGGUGGACAGAGUAUUCUUAUGAGCAUUGAUAUUCGGGCAAAAAGUUUAGACAUAAAAGCAACAGUAAAUCGGGCCUGAUUUUCUCAAUAAAUUUCAAAUACAUAAAUCGAAUUCAGUUUAAAGUCUUUUUGUCGAAAAAAUUUCAGCAUUUUCUCUGUUUACCAUGUUCUAAUUAAUAAUUAAUAUAUAUUUUCUCAUAACAAUGACAUUAAAAGAAAAAACGAAGACAGGAUUUUGGGGAAAACCCAAAUAAAUUUUCUAGCCUUCAACCUUCUCAAGGAUUUACAAUUAGUUAGGCAGAUUAAGAAAAAUUUUUAAGAGCUACUAAGCCAUGUCUCUCACAUUAUUGUAAAAAUAAGUGAUAAUUCAUACCAGGAUACUCCGGGGCAUGCUGUAUAACAUGAGGCAAGUCGAAAUUGAUGCCCUUAACGUGAGAAUACUUGGUAGUGAUAGCUUUAAGUGUAUUGCCAAGGCUACCACCGACAUCGACCAGUUGCUUUAUGUGCUUGAAACCAUUGUAAGCCUCAAGAAUUUUCUGGAUGACCAAAGUAGAAAGGUUGUACAUCGCUGUAUUGAAAACUUCAUUGAACCUGGGGUCCAGUCUCGGGUACUCAAAAGCGUGUGUUCCAUGAACACGAUCAAAUGGAACUCCUCCUUCAAUAAUAGCUUCUUUUAGUUGGGACCUGCACGAUCAAUUAAUCAAUCAGUCCAGAAUUAGAUUCGUAUCCAAAUCCUCUAUUCAUCAGAUCAACAUUUUACAUUUGGCUUACUCUUUUUAGAUUCAUUGAUUCGUGGUUGAUAAAAACAUAUAGAUACAUAUAAAUUAUAACUAUGACGAUGUAUACGUAUCGUAAAAAAAUCACAAAUUAGUUCAUAUCUAGUUUGUAUUGACAUUUCAUGUAGUUAGGUCCUGCUUGUUGUGCGCAGAAUGCAAAAUCAAGCACACCAAAUAAUCACAGAAAAAUAAAUGAUACAAAAUUUAACGUGGUUCGGCAAUUAUGUCUAUGUCCACGGGAGCAAGAGAAAAUAAUUGUAUUACUAACAAUUAUAAUAGUACAAUAUUUGAGUAGAAACCUUACUUCUCAAAAUCUAAAUACACCUAGUAUUCUCACAUACACUUGAAAAGAAAAAACCUCUCAAUUGUUCACACUCUCCAAUUGCUCACUCUCUCAACAAUUCUUCACUUAAAUUAUUGCUCUCAAUUUUAUGAGAUUCUCUCAAAUUUUAAGAUGCUUUAGCUCUAUGAAUGAAGCUCUAUUUAUAGUUGAGCUUCACUGUAAAAAGUCUGAAAAGUAGUUGGCAAAAAGUCCUGCAAUUUGGCGCCGAAUUGAAAAAACAAAAAAAUGCAUGCGGCUUUGCCAAUUUUUGUCAAGAAAAUCACGCGGUUCAAUAUGUUCAAAAUCCAACAUGUGAGCCCCCUUCUUUACUUUGGCUUUUCAACACUGCUGUCUUAAAAAACCCCCCGGGAAAAAAAAUCUUUUAAUUGAGCAAAAUUCUACGGAUAAAGUUAAGAAUUUUUUCCUUUAUGAAUUUCUGUCAAAACUACAGAACAGAAUUCAAUAAAUGCUCUCAAUAGAACUAAAUUCAUUGUCUUUUUCAUACUACUCUCAUUUUCUCUGCAAGUAAAAGACAAAAAUUUCCCCGACGGAGAACACUUUUCUUCUUAUCCUCUGCAAAUAAAACACAAUCAACAAUAUUUCAUCUAUUCUUGAAUUGAUUUGAUUAAAAGUAUAUAUAUAGUAAUGAUUUAUAAGUUUGCUAAGUGUACAUUCUACAUUUUAGUGCUUACUAUUAUAAAUAUACACUUAUGCAUCAAAUAUAGGGAUUUAGUUCAUUUUUUGUUUGUUUGUUUCUACGACGACUGAAAAUGAAUUUAGAAACAAGUUGAGCAUGAGUUGGAGUAUGAUCGGAGAUAUGCAUGAUUGGAUCUGAAUGUUUAGAAAGAUAGAUGCAUUAUUAACCCAUGUGAUGUUAUUAUUCUAAAUAAAAAUAAACUACAGAGAAUUAAAAUGAGAGAGAGCAGGUAUACCAGCUGUCCAGAAACACCUUGUCCUGAAUUAAGGCCAUUAAGGGGCCCAAUGAGACACCAUCUUCGUUAGGCACAAAGUAUCUGGAAACAUUACUCUGACCGUAGAGUCUCUGAGAACCAUCAAUAUCAUCUAGUGAGCAUUCAACAACACCAUGGCUAGCCAGAAGCCUGAGUAUCCGGUCCAACAUCAUGGGUGCGUCUUUGUUCUUGGUGGUAGGCAACUGAGCUGCAAUCUCUGAAGCUGAGAGCUUUGCUCCAGGACCAGCUUUGGCUAUGAUCUUGAAAACUCCCAGCUCAAUUGCUGCUUGCAUGGUCAUGGGGAGCACUGAACCCGUCACCAAUUGAUUGGCAUAUGCAAAGCUUUCGUCUCUCUCUUCAUUAGCCAUAUUUUGUUGAAUUUCCUUAUCUGUUUUGCUAAGAAACAAUGCGAUUAUAGUGGUGUGAAGAUUGAUUGGCCUGUCCAAAAGGAUAUAGCUUAUUAUAUAUUGGUAUAUAUGAGCUAGUUUCCGUUUUCUUUCCUCUAGCUAUUGUGAAAAUAAUGAAGUGAAAGUUGUUGAAUGUACAGGAUCGUUUGAGGGAGCCUGUACCUCCACAAAUAAUGUCAGUGUUUUCAAAUUCAGAGAGUGUAACCUGCUGUUUAUUUCUAAAAUUUAAAUAAAGAAAUAGCUAACAAACUAACUUGGACUCUAACUACUCCAACAGCUAACUUGACUUAUUCAAACAAUGAAAGAAACAAAAAAAAUCAAUUAACUGGAACAAAAUCUAGAACAUGUAACAUAAUGGUUCUCUUAUUUUAAUAUGAUAAAAGGACAAACAAAAAGAUAGAAAAAUAUAAAUUUUAAUAAAAUAUAAAAUAAAAUUGUUUUCUUUUUAUUUAGCUUAUCUCUAACUUUAUUAAAAUAUGAGAUCAUUUAUUAAAAAAUAAAUAAAAAAGGAUGAAAGAAGCCAUAUUAUGUAUAAAGUAAAUUAACAAUAAAGGAAUUCCUUACUUUAUUAAAAUAAGGUAUAAUUUAAGAGAUAAAAAAUACAGAUUUCAAUAUACUACAUGUAACAUUUCACAUUAUUAGCGAGAGUUUUGAGACUAGUUUAUAAGUUAUGGGUUCUUAACUAAGCAAACAUGACGGGAUAUGUACCCAACGUGGAUAGUAUCUUCUUGGUUAAUGGGCCUAGGGUAUUGAAGUUAGUAUCAUAAACAACUCACGACCUGAUGUAUGGAUGGAUAUGUUAUUGGUAUGAUUGUAUCUCAUUCUGUUAUGAGGAUCAAGGGGAGAAACAUUUAACAUCUCAUUGGUAUGAUUUCAUUAUGUCCCGUUAUGAGGGUCAAUGGGGGAAGCAUGUAACAUUUCACAUUGCCAGUAAGAGAGUUCUUGGACUAGUUUAUAUGCCAUGAGUUCUUCUAACUAAGAAGAUGUAUUUUGGGUUACAAGCCCAAUCAUAAAACAAUAGUGGGUUGUAUAUCCAAAGCGGAUAAUAUCUUUUUGUUUAGUAGGUUGUGUAUCUAUUAUGAUAAAAUUUUAAUGAUUCCUAAUUAUUUUAAUAUUAUCUAUUCACACCCCACUAAAACUCGAAUUAAACCUAAGCCCUAAGUAGACUGCUCUUCACCACAUGAGCUGAACCUUAAUUUUUAUGUAACAUCCCAUAUUGCUAGGGAGAUAGUUCUCGGACUAAUUUAUAAGUGACAAGCUCUCCUAACUAAGCAAAUGUGUUUUGGACUAUAAAGUCUAAUAACAAAAUCGUGACGGAUUGUGUGCCCAAAGCGAACAAUAUCUAUUUGGUUAAUGGGUCUAGGCUAUUAUAAUUAGUAUAAGAGCUUACUCAUGAGCCGAUGUGUCGAUUGAUAUGUUAAUGAUACGAUUUCAUUCUAUUCUGUUUCCAAUGAUCCUCACGAGAACGCAAGGUCCUUAAGGGGAAAGGAUGCAUUGCUAACGAGGAGUUCUUGGAGCAGUUUAUAAGCCAAGCACUCUCCUAACUAAGCAAACGCGCUUCGGGUUAGAAAGUUCAAUAACAAAAAAAGUGACAAUUGUGUGCUAAAGCUGAUAAUAUCUACUUAGUUAUUGGGCAUAAACUCUUAUAUUAUAAGAUAAAAUAUACUAUAUUAAAAUAUGUAUUUUUCUUCUUUUAACUUAUUUCUUAUUUUAAUGAAAUUAUUUAUUAAAAAAUUACUACAUAAAAACCUAUUUAUAUAUAUAAAUAGAAAUUUUUGGAGGGAAACUUAAAAUUUUAUUUUCGUAUUGAAAUAUCUAUCUUACUAUAUUUAUAAAAGAUAUAUCUAACUGCGUCCAAGUAUAUGCUUGAGAUAAAAUUAAUGGCUGAUGCAUGGAAUGAGAUUCAAUUGCGGAAAAAGAUCCUCUCCUGAUCUGAUCUUUUCUGAGCUUUCAAGAUUUUUAGUCAUGUGUCUUUUAAUGGUAGUGUAUGGGUAAGAUUCAACUUCUUUUAUUUUUUUAUUUAUUAACUACCAAUCAGUAAUUGCGAAAAAAAUUCAUCUUCUUUUAUUUGCUCAGGAUAUGAUCAGAUCAGGAGAGAAUCAUGAUCCCUCAAUUGUAGCCUCUAAGCUGACACAAUCACGUUUGCCAAAAGAAAAGUUGAGACAGUGACUUAUAAAAAAUAAAAUUAAAAAAAUUGAGACAGCGAUUUUUUCAUCAUUUUUAAUUUGAUGCAUUAAUUGUAGUGGGCAAAAAUAAAAGGAGAACCAUGUGUUGUGUCAGUAUUCUCUCGUAUUUUAGCAGUAAAAAUUUAAGUAGUAAUUAAUAAUUAAUAAAUAAAAAAUAAUUAAUUAAAAUUUACCUAUUUACUAUAAUUAAAAUAAGGGUCGUGUUGAGUUACGAUCAAUGUAAUUUACGGCUCUUGUAAUAUAGUCCCAUUACCGUAUUAUAAAUUUUUGCAUAUUUUACAUAGAUUAUAAGUUAAUCUUUAAAAUAAACAUAAUACAAAAUCUUUAAACAUUAAAAAAAAUUAAAUUAAAAAAAAUUGUCAUCGGCUAGGACCAUGAGAACAGGCCAACCCAUUUUGAUUCUUACUUCUCCCUUUAGCUAUUGACAAGUCACAAGACAUAAGAGAGGGUUAGUAAUGGAAGCGUGGAUGACAUUGUUGUAAAUAAACAUAAAUUCACGAAGUAUAAAAAGGAUGAUGUUAAUAUUUCUUAUGAGAAUAAAUCUCAAUUUGGAUGAUACAAUUAUGCAAGGUGAGAAUUUACUUAUUUAUAACAAGAAAAAUGUUGUUACGGUUAAAAUUUUGAAAAAAUGCAUAAAAAUAAUUAAAAUAUUUUGAUAAUAAAAGACUAAAAUAUCUUCGUUAGUAAUGUCAUGCUAGACGGAUAACACAACUUAGCUACCUAAUUUAGGUUGGCUAUAUCGCAUUUGGCUUCGGCUUGUAAAUUAGCACUUGAUGGUUUAGCCUCCAGUCAAUCCAAACGGUGCUUAAUUAGGUAAGGCGUAUUUCACAAAGACAUGCCAUCCAUCUGUCACGUUAGGUGAUGCGCAUGUAACCAAAAACAACCGAUAUCAAAGUAGGCACAUGCGAAGGCUUAUUUUUCCAAGGGUAACAAGCUAAUUAGCUAAGACUAUCAUUCAUCCAUCUGUCACGUUAGGUGAUGCGCAUGUAACAAAAAACAACCGAUAUCAAAGUAGGCACAUGCGAAGGCUUAUUUUUCCAAGGGUAACAAGCUAAUUAGCUAAGACUAUCAUUCAUCCAUCUGUCACGUUAGGUGAUGCGCAUGUAACAAAAAACAACCGAUAUCAAAGUAGGCACAUGCGAAGGCUUAUUUUUCCAAGGGUAACAAGCUAAUUAGCUAAGACUAUCAUUCAUCCAUCUGUCACGUUAGGCGAUGCGCAUGUAACCAAAAACAACCUUUAUCAAAGUAGGCACAUGCGAAGGCUUAUUUUUCCAAGGGUAACAAGCUAAUUAGCUAAGACUAUCAUUAAAAGUCUCUUUAAAUGAGAUUUUAUUAUUUAUUUAAAGAGUCAUAUAAAAAAAAAAGGUUUAAAAAAACUCUCCAAAUGAGAUUUUUCAAAUAAAAUAGUGUUUCUCUCUAUUUAAUAUUAAAAAGAGAGAAGUAUUAUUUCAUUUGAAGAAAUUUAUUUGGAGAAUUUUUUAGUGUCUUUAAUUUAAUACUACAUUUUUUUCUCAUAAUUCUUGAAGAGAGAGAAGUAUUAUAAUUACUAUUAAUUUUUUAGAGAAAAAAGUUGAUUAAAAUAAUAUAUUUAUUUUUAUUUAAAAAAUCUUUUGAAAAGUAACUUCUUUUUUUACUCUUCUAUUUAUUAUCUAGAUAAAUAAAUAAGUAUUUAAAAAUUAAAUUAAAAGAGUUAAACAUAUUUUUCAUUCUUGUUUUGAUUUGUUUCUACUGUUAUGUAAUCCAUUUUAACUGACUGAAGUUGGUGCUUAAAAAAGACAAGAGAGAGAUAAGCAUGAGCCGCGGCGGGGGAGGGGGAGAGAGAGAGUGAGAGCACGAAGAAACAAUAGGAAGGAGAGUGAUUGAGUGGGUCCACGCAAGAAGAGAGAAAAAUUAAAAUUAUUUUGACAAAUUUAAUCUGUUGAUUCAUCUUCUAUCCUAACGGGUAUUAACAAAUGUAAAAAUAAUACUAUUUUUAACGAGAUCUUAACCAUAUUAAAGUCAAUCAUUAACCAUAUUAAAGUUAAGAAUAAAUUAAAAUACAAAAAAAACACAUAUUUUUAUAUGAUAUAAUACACUGCAUUAAAAUUUAUAUUUUUUAUCUUUUAAUUUAUUCCUAACUUUAAUAUGUAAAAAUUCUUGAUUGGAACGUAUAUUUCCAAAUUAAAUUUGAGUGAAGUAUGUUUAUAAAAUUUUAGAAUUACAAAUGGCAUGUUAGCAAAUUAGUAACUACUAAUGCUCGAUGAUAAUUAACAUUUUUAUGCUAAUGAUAAACUGAGUCAAUAAGGGAGCAGAUCAUUAGCCCUUUAAAAAUACCCUUAUUUUUACAUUUGUUAAUAUAUGUUAGAUUAAAAAUGAAUCAAAAGAUUCGAUUUCUCAAAAUAAUUUAAGUUUUUUCUCACCGUGCACGGUUCGAACUUAAUCUCUCUCUCUCUCUCUCUCUCUCUCUCUCUCGUCAUUCUUAUCUCUCUCUUCUUUUUCAAGCGUUAACUUCAGCCAAGAUGGAUUACAUAACAAAACAAACAAAUAAAAAAAAAAGAAAAAAGAAAAAUCAAAACAAGAAUGAAGACAAAUAAAUAGCACCAAUUUAAUUAUGGCAUGUGCAUAAUUAAUCGAGUCUGAAAUAAAACUUACAACAGACAUCAAUUUAACCUCAUAUAAUAAAAAAUAUUUUUUUUAGAAUAACUUAUUUAUUUAUUUUGAGACACACUAAAGUUGCAACGGAUGGAAUUCCAGUAUUAAUAAGCCUCACAUUCAUGGUGAUCAUCAACAGAAAAGAGAUGAGAGAGAGAGAGAGAGAGAUAGGAACAAGGGGAGAGAGAGUACGUCAGAGUACAUGAAAGUUAAAGAAAAUAUAGAAGGGAGAGUGAUUGGAUGGGGUCCACUUGCGGAGAGAGAAAACUUAAAUUAUCUUUAAUCCAAUAAAUAUUAAUAAAUAUAAAAAGGGUAUUUUUAGAGGGUUGUUCAUAUGCCUGCGUAUAUGGUGUGUGUAGUGUGUGUAUGUGUGCACAAACAGUCUCUUUUUAAUACAAGGAUUAUUAUUUUUUUAUGCGAAUAUGUUUUUAAAUUAUGUAAUUUAAUAUAAUUAAAUUUAAAUAUUAUAAAUAAUAUAUUAAUAAAAUUAUAUUAAAUUACAAAAUUUAAGAGUAUGUCUGUAUUAAACAAAUGAGUAUGUCACUCCUGGAAUAUAUUCUAGGACACCUACCAUUAUUGAUAAAAAAUAAAGACACAGACUAACCCAACAUCAACAUAAUAAAUGAAAGGGUAGUAAGUUACUUUCACCUCCUAGAGUCAAUGCAAAAGAUCAAACAUUCAUUUCUAAUGGACACAUUUAAUUUCGACAGUAAGGUGCAUAUGCCACGAUAACUUAAAAAAAGGAAAAAUCAAUUCCAAGUUUGUUGUUAAUAAAAGAAAAGGUAAUGCUAGAUAACUCAAUAAUUGAAUCUAAUUAAUGCAAUAUUUUAUUUAGUGAAUGAUAAAAUUUUAAUUUUAUUACUUAUAAAAUUUAUUACUCAAUAACUGAAGGACACAUAAUAGUUAGGACUCAAAUUGAGAACCGGGCGAAGCCAAAAAAUUGUUUUUGGGUAGGCUAAAUUUUUUCCAAGUCCAAAUAUUAUCGCAACUAAGAGUAUAAAAUUUAAUGAAAAAUUCAUUAAUGUGUAAGAAAAUAAAUUGAAUCGUAAAAGUAAUUCAAUUACAAUUAAAAACUACUUAAGUUGUGCCUUACGAUACUUUUGAGAAUUAAACUUAUCUAUUAUCAAAUUUGAAUCGAUAAUGUCUACAAUUCUCUUUUAUUGUAGAUAACCAUACAAUUUGAUAUAAACUUCUUCUCCAUCUUAUUUCGAAGUGGUGUCUUGAUAACCCACUAAAUCAGACCAUUUGAUUUAGCUCCUGGAUUUCUUCUUUUCUUUCAUAGAAAUAACUAUCUCUAAUCUAUGAUCUCUCAAUAAUCAAUUUAAAAAUUUGAUUACUAGAAUUCAAUGAUUUGACCUAACAAUAAUUUGAUGUUACGCAACAAAAUUAAAACAAGAACUAACUAAAGUCUUUACUGCCUUACAAUUAAUAAAUAUAUUGUAAAUGAUUAAAUAAAAAUAAAGUUACUAUAUAUUCUUACCAACAGAAGACGAAUAACUAAAGAAGAAGUUGAGCACGUCAGCACCACGAAUCCAAGAAACAAAGAGAGUAGGUUCUGAAAGAGUAAAGUAAACACUCAUUUUUUUAUUUUUUUAUUCAUAUGAAUGGUAAAGUUGUAAAUUAAUAGAACGAUAAAGUUGUAAAUAAAUGUAUAGAGUAAUGACAAUUUUUUAAACUUUGCACAACGGAAUUUUUGUAAAUUUUCCAAAAUUUUGGACGGACUACAACCCAUCGCAACCGACUAGUAGCUCCGCCCUUGGUUGAGAAUCAACUAGUGAGAUUUCAAUCACUAUUUUAAAAUACUGUAGAUAUGUUUUCGAUUAGUCUUAAAAUAGGAUGUCUUAAUCAAAUGAAAAUGCUUUAACAUCAAUUAUUUAUUCUAUGUGCAGAAUCUUUAUCUUCUCUAGUGGCCUAUACCGACAAUCACAAAUUCAUUCAUGGCAUUAAGUUUGGUGUCAAUGGCCCAUUUAUCUCUCAUUUAUUUUUUGUUGAUGACAGUUUGGUGUUCUCCAAGGCCACAGUUGCAGAAUGUAGUUACCUUAAAGAGCUGUUUGACUUGUACAACAAUGCAUCUGGCCAAGUUAUCAAUUUUUAAAAAUCAUCUUUAUUUUUCAGUCCAAACACUCCAGAGAACACCAGAGAGGCGAUUUAAAAAUAUCUUCAACCUCUCUGUCGUCUCUCAUCAUGAGCAAUACCUUGGUCUUCCAUCAAUGUUGGGCCGAAGUAAAAAACUCUUCUUCAACACGUUGAAGGCCCGACUUUGGCAUAAGAUUAAAGAUUGGAAAGCCAAAUUAUUUUCAAGCGGCGGUAAAGAGAUAUUGAUUAAGGCUGUCGCUCAGGCUAUCCCCACUUAUGCGAUGAGUGUCUUCAAGCUCCCUUUUAGCUUCUGUCACGAUCUACAGAAAAUAAUUACACAGUUUUGGUGGAGUCAGAACUCAUUCUCCAAAAGCUUGCACUGGUUGCCGUGGCUGAAACUUUGCCUGUCAAAGGAAGAUGGGGGCCUCGGUUUUCGAGAGUUGAGCUCUUUCAAUAGAGCUCUUCUAGCAAAACAAUGCUGGUGAUUAAUUUCUUCUCCACACUCUCUAGUCUCCAAAGUUCUUAAAGCAAAAUACUAUCCGAGAGGCAACUUCAUGGAUAGUAAAUUGGGUUGUAAUCCUUCCUAUAUGUGGAGAAGUAUCUUGUGGGGGAGAGAGGGCAUUGAAGUCGGUUCGAGAUGGAGGAUUGGAGAUGGUAAAAAUGUCUCUAUUUAUCACCAUAGAUGGCUUCCCCGCCCUAGCACUUUGAAGCCAUUCUCUCCUCCGCUCCUGCCUUCUCAGUCUAAAAUAGCCAUUUUGAUUGACGAAAACGGAUGCUGGAAAGAACAUUUGAUAAGAAAUAAUUUUCUUGAAGACGAUGCAGAUCAGAUCUUGAAACUUCCACUACCCAAAAAGCCGUUGGAGGAUCAAUUGGUUUGGUCAUAUGACAAGCGUGACCAAUAUCAAGUGAAGAGUGGUUACUACGUGGCUCUUCGGUUGAAACUCAAGGACUUGCCUUCAAGUUCUAGUCCUAAUAUUGGGUGGUGGAAGUUUUUUUGGAAUUUGUCCCUACCAUCUAAGAUUAAACUCUUUUAUUGGAGAGCCUUUUCCAAUAUCCUCUCUACUUAUUUAAAUUUGCACCAAAGGAAAAUACCAGUUGCUCCUUCAUGCCCUUGUUGUGGCUUUGCUUACGAGGAUCAAUAUCUCGCGUUGGUGGGGUGUCAACUAGAAAAGAAGGGAUGGAAGCGCACGAGAUUUUAUUCAUGCCUAAAGAUAUUAGUAUCCAUGGAGUUUUCUAAUUUGUCCAUUCACUUGUCAUCUACUUUCACAAAAGAUGAGUUCGAAGAAUGGGUGGUCUUGUGUUGGUCAAUAUGGCUAGCUAGGAAUCAUUUGAUUUUUUGUCAAACUAUCAGUGAGCCUCUCGCAAUUGUCGCCCGAGCUGCGAAUGCAGUGAAUUCAUAUCGAGAUAAUGUUCUGCAACGCGGCACCAACAAGAGUAUUAACCCUAAAACUCCCAGCCCGGGUUGGCAAAGUCCUCCCCUACCAUGGUACAAGGUGAACAUUAAUGCAGCUGUUAACUCUAAGGAAGCUCGUGCUGGUAUAGGAAUGUUAAUCCGCAACUCGCAAGGUGAGGUUAUGGCAGCAUCUAAUUGCAGGGAGAUUUCUACCGACAAUAUAGAGUUUCUAGAAGCUCUUGCAAUACAAAAAGGAAUCCAAUUGGCGAAGGAUAUUGGGUUGGUUCUAGCUAUCAUUGAAUCAAAUUCUCUCAAUGUUGUUAAUCUCAUUAACAACAAAAUCCACAACAGAUGUGAAGUGGGAUGGCUAAUCUCCAACAUUCAAGAGGCCUUAUCUUCUUCCAAGAGCACUUUCCAAGUGAAUCAUACUCCAAGGUCUUGCAAUGAAGCUGCACAUCAUCUAGCUAAAUUAGCUAUAUGUAAUUCCAAAGAGAGAGUGUGGUUAGAGGAAGCUCCAACUGACAUCUCGGCUUAUAUAUGUAGAGACAAAUCCAUGUAAACGCUUUCUAUUAAUAAAUUUUUACUUUAAAAAAAAUCAAUUAUUAUUUUGAUAAGUAGCUCGGACUACUAUGUAGUCCCACUGUGAAAUGCAUGGUUGAUAUGAACUUAGACUAUCGCUUGAAAUAAAAAUGAAGUAUUGACGGAGUCGAACAACAAAAUAAAACCAUGCAUAAUUAAACAUACAUAAAUAUAUAUAUAUAUAUAUUCAAUGAAAAACGUGAUCCACAAGCUGAAAUUCAUGAGGCAUAAUGAAUCCAACUAAUUAACAUUGAAUAUGAUCAGCUUAAAGCAUUGAAUCAACAACUGAUUAUAAAAACUAUAAAUGAUCAUUUGAAGUGAUAAAACAAGAAAUUGAUAUCCAUUAGAGGUUAGCCGCUUCUUGUUUAUUGAUCUUUAGCGGGAAAAGUAUCAACGAUGUCUUUGGGCUUUGCAACAUGAGGUCCUCAAGAGGAGAACUAUGUAACAUUUUACAUCAUCAAUGGGAGAGUUUUAGACUAGUUUAUGAGCUCUAAGCUCUCCUAACUAUGCAUGCAUUUUUUUGUUGGAUUUUUAAUCAAGUAUUGUUGGAUCCUUAAUUUAAUAUAGGGCUUAUAUGUGAAUAAUUAUGUAUUGCAAACUACCAAAUAAGGAUAAGCCCAAUUAAAAGUGAUUGAUUAAGGUUUUCAACAAUAUGAGCUUUAAUAUAUCUGAUAGGGUGUGGAUCUUUAAUGUGUAGAGACUUAAAGGUUAUUUUUAUUUUUAUGAUGGGCUGAAAUAAGAAUACUUAAAAACAAUAAAAAAUGUUAGUCUAUAUAAGUAGUCAUGGUCUCUAGGUCACACGUAUCAUUCUAUUUUUUCUGACAUCAAAUCAUCAGAGAGAGUACAAAGAAAAUUAAAAGAUUCUCUAGGAGAACGUGUUGAUCUAGAAGACCAACCACAUGACUCAAGAGCAAUUAAGCAUUUUGGAUUCAAGUACGCUUUUGCAUAAUUUGUUAUUGAUUCUUAGUAAUACAACAUGAAUGUUCCCGGAUUAUAGAUGAUGAUUUUCACCAAAGGAUUUCUUGUUUUAAUAUGUGCUAUCAGAGCCUCUUCAUGCUGAAGUCUUUGAGCAUCAAAUUUAUUUUGGAUUAAUAAAUAAAGUUUUGAUUUUCUCGAAUUUUGUAUCAUUGAAUUUGAUAAAAAUUGUGGCUGUUCUUUUGUAUUUUUUAAAGGAUUAAUUAAAAAAAUCUGGGUUAUUAAGGAACCAUUACCGCCGACGUUAAGGCUUUCGCGCCAACAAGAGAGCCACGACCACCAUGCAAAAGAAUAAAAAGAAAAAGGAAGAUAAGGUUUAAAGUUUUGGGGCUAUGGCUUCAGGCCCGACGAGGCAUGGCCCAAACAUCAAGCAAGCCAAGAAAGCGGCUGCUACAUCAAGAACAUAACAUAUAUAUAUAUAUAUAUUUGGCGCGACUGUUGGUUGCACUUGCAAUCAAGCCGCGACGACCUGGCUACGACAGAUUUCUUAAAAGUGGCUACCACAGUCGUGGCCUCAGGACAGAAGAAAAGAAAGGCAAAAAAAAAAGGGGGGGGGGUUGGGGUUAGGGUUGGACUGGGAUCCAACCCUAAUCCGAAUGAAGAGUAGGGCUAAUAGUCAAUGGUCAAUAGUUGAUUGUUGACCAUUGACCGUUAAUUGAACUUUGAUCUAAUUUUUUUAGGGUAAAUUUUGGUGCAAUUUUAAAUUUAAAUAGUAAUAUGUUAAUAUAUAUAUAUAUACCAGAAAGAAAUAGGAUCGAAGGAUGAGUAUGUAUCAAGAAGAAUUAAUUUAAAAUCAAAUUUUAAUAAAGCGAGAUUAUUUAGUACGUGGCGUUGUUUCCAUAUUGAUGCAGAAUUUAAUCUGCCUUUGUGACCAGAUCUGACUUAGAACAGAUCAAUAUCACGCACGUUCUGUUUUCCAGCCGAUAUACUAAAAUAUUUUAGUAGUCUUUUCAAGCCUAGCAACAAAAUCUAAAGGCUCAUAGAUAAUACUAGAUCUGGAUCCCAGAAAUAGUAUUCUGAUUGAUUGGAGGGAGAAGAGAAAUUACGACCAAGGGGAGAGAUCCGGUCUCUAUGCCUUGGAAGAACGUACCAGUUUAUAAGUUGCUUUAAAUUUAAAUUGCAGAAAUUUAAAACAUGCAUUCGAAAUUGAAAUCUUUAAACAUAAAUGCUUACUUUAUUUCCUUGAGGCAAAUUGUAUUACAGCUUUAGAUCCAGUACAGCUUUUGAAUUAUAGAAAGGACAAAUUUCAAGACAGGAAAAUUUUCCUUGAUGUCUUGAUCCGAUUUUCCAGAGAGAGAGAGAGAGAGAGCUUUCUAUUCAGAGAAGAGAGAAUACAAUAAGAAUUAAAAUCAAAGUUCUGUCCUUCUAGUGAAAUAAAGCUUUGAAUUUAAACUAGCUGAAGUUUGAACUGUAGCGAGUCUGUAGCUUCAACUGUAGCUUUACAAACGUGGUUGGUGAGUGGAGACAACAUCAUGGUGGAAGGACUUAGCUUUAUCUGCUUUUGCUGUAGCUUCACAUGUGUGGAUGAUGGAGCAAGACAUGUGGGGGAUAGCAUCUUUUCUGCUUUACAAUAAUGAAAGAAAACAAAAGAUGGGUGAAAAGAUAUGUGCGCUCUCACUUGUGUCCAGGGGACCACCCAAAAUAUAAAAAAUGAAGACAAUCGUUACUUUUUUUUUUUUUACAGGGCUGUACAGGAAAAAGUAAAUACAAUAGUAAAAUUAAAAUUUCUUUAUCGGGGGGAAAAUGCCGAAGCAAUCAUCUUCAUUAUCAUCUCCGAGGGAUAUAAAGGGCUCUGCACUAUCUUGAUCAGAUGAGCUGGCUACAGAUGGUUCUGAUCUAGAAGUGAGGAGUUGUUGCAUAACUUUAAAAUAUUCGUCUUCUGUUUUGGCACUGGCCAGAAGAGAUUGGGCUUUGGAUUUUUGAGUUAGGAAAGUUCCUUGGGCUUUGACUUCUUUAAUACUUGGUGUUAGGAGGCCUUUUGAGGAAAGCCAUUUUUGGAUGGUGGCUUCAGUUAAUUUUGACUGUUCGUCAAACUUGGACCACCAUUUGACUUUGAUGGUUCUUUGUAAAAUAAGUUGGGCUUCGUGAGUGUGAUAACGAAGGUUCCACAUCCAUACCCACGGAAGAAAAAAAUUGGUACAGAAGCAGAGAAAAGGAGGAAAACGUUUCUCGGAUUCUGUAGGGAUAUAAUGGGUUUUGAAGAGAUUUAGACAGUGAAUGGCAUUUGGGGUUAGAAUGUCUGGGCUUGGCCCAAAGUAGUUCCACCAGUGUUGGAACCAAUUGGGUAGGCUUUGAAUGGUUAUUUUCGAGUUAAAGAAGAAUAACCAAGAAUGGGCCUUUUUAGGGUUUUGGAUAAAAAAAUGUAUUGUAUCAGGCCUGUUGAUAGUCCCAGUAGGAGAAAAAUAACCAAUGCUUUAGUUUUUGUUGGAAAUUGGCAGGAAAGGUUUGGAACUUGUGGAGGUCAUCGCCCUACUGUUUUCAGCUCAAAACUUUAAGAAUGAUAGCCGUAAAAUAGGCAGGCUCAGAAUGAGCAUCACUAAGGAAGAAAUGUUUGAAUUUCACUGAUUCAGUGAUUUCCAAAAUGCUUUGAUAAUAAGACUGGGGUUUUGAUAAAUCCCACGGUUUAAAAACCCAUCCUUUGGGGAAAAACUUUAAAAUUGCUUGGAAUGGAUCAGUGUGAUAAAAUCCGUCUUCCAUAGAUAAAAUAUUUUGGAAAUAGAUUUUAUUAAACCAAUCCGAAGUUUUCUUUGUAAGCUUUGGUUGUGAAAGAACAAUUUGAGAAGAUGAACUUUCACCAGAAAGAACUACAUUUUGGGAAGAGGCUUUAGAAAUUUCUUUAGAAAUUGUUUUUUCUUCUUUAGGAGAAAUCUGACUUUGAGAAAAACUUUGUAAGGCGAGCAUAAGCUCAGGGGAUUUAGAAAUGGAUUUCAUCCAUUCAUUUACCUGCUCUUGGGAGGCAAGGGCUUUAGACUGGGCUUCCUGGUCUUCAAUUGUGUCAAUCCAUGACUUGAUUGGCAUAGCUGAAGAAAGUAAUUUUUCUUUAGGUGGAGAAGAUUGGGAGGCUUUGGAAGGUGUUUGGGAUACAGGGUCUGUGAGGAUCCCUUUCCCUUUGUCUCUUCUUUUGGGCGGCAUUAUCUGUUUUGGAGAAAUUCUCUGGUUAGAAAAUCUGGGAGAGAAUUUGUAUCACCUUUAAUAAAUUGAAUUUCAAAAUCAAAAACACUUAAGAUAGCUUGUCAAUGUGCAAAAAUCUGUUUUGAUGCAAUGUUUUGGACAUCUUUUUCUAAAACAUGUUUUGCAGCUUUGCAAUCAAUUCUAAGCAAAAAUUUUUUAUUUAGUAAGUCACUUUGAAAUUUGGAAAUGCAUAGGACAAUAGAUAAAAUUUCUUUUUUUAUAGUAGAAUAAUUUUUCUGGCAUUCGUUCUAAUGUGCAGAAACAUAAUGUACUAUUUGUUCUUUGUUAUUGUUAACUUGCUUUAAUAUCCCACCAUAACCUAAAUCUGAUGCAUUAGUUUCAACAAUUUUAGGUAAUGCAGGAUUUGCGAGAAACAAACAUGGAAUGUUUUUAACCAUAAUCUUUAUUUGUUGAAUAAUUUUAGUAUGUUCUUUUGUCCAUGCAACAUGGGUUUUCUUUAACUUAUUAUGCAGUGGUUUGGCAAUUCUAUUUAUGUUAGGACAGAAAUCGAGAACAUAAUUGAGACUGCCCAAAAAUCUUUGUAAUUGGGUUUUAUCAAGGAUCUUGUCAGGAAACUUAUCAGUAAAAGCAAGGGACCUUUCAAUUGGAGUAAUGGUUCCUUUUGAAAUGUAGUGACCAAGAAACCUGAUUUUAGUUUAGAAUAAAGAAAUUUUUGAACUAGAAAUGGCUAGGCCAGCUUUUCUAGUUGCAAAAUAAAAGGUUUUUAAAUGUUUGAAAUGUUGCUAAAUUGAUUAAGAAAAAAUCAACACAUCAUCAAUAUAAACAAUGCAAAAUGCAGAAAAAGGAUUAUAAAUGUCAUUCAUAAUUAUUUGAAAUUCUGAGGGUGCAUUUUUUAAACCAAAUGGCAUUAUUGUCCAUUCGUACUACCCAAAUGGAACAGUGAAAGCAGUUUUGUAACGAUCUUUAGGAUGUAUUUAGAUUUGCCAAAUACCAGAUUUCAUAUCAAAUUUGGAAAAUAUGAAUGCAGAAUGUAGUUUUUGAAGCAAAUCUUUUUUAUUAGGUAUAAGAUACCUAAUCCAUUUUAAUGCUUUAUUAAGAGGUUUAUAGUUUAUUACCAAUCUAGGUGUUCCUCUUUCGAUUUCUGAAUUUUUAUUGACAUAAAAAGCAGCACAAGACCAGGGAGACCUAGAUUUGCCAAUGAGUCCUUUAGAUUCCAAAUCUUUGAUUUCUGUUUUACAAUGUUGUUCGAGAUCCAUAUUCAUUUGAAUAGGACGGGCUUUUGUGGGGAUUUGUCUUUCAUCAAAGGAGUUUUCAUACGGCAGAUCAACUAGAUGUUGUUUUCGGUUCCAAAAAGCACUUGGUAGAUCAUCACAUAUUUCUUUUUCGAUUAAAGUUUGAAAAUCGGAAAUUUUUCUUUGUAUGAAAUCAUUAUUCAAUUGGAUUUCAAUUUUUUGUAAGCUUAAAUCUUUUUGUAAACAAGCUAAAUUUGUUUGUUUUGUUUUGAGCAAAACAUUUAUUUGGUUCUGGUAAACAGAACAGGCUUUAACAAUAUUCAAAUUCCUGGUUUUAGGUUUUUCUAAAAAAGGAAAAAUUAAUUUUUUCUUUUUUGCUUUAAAAGAUAUACUAUCGUAAUUGACAGUAUAAGGAGUAAUGAGGUUUAUUAAAGGAGUGCCUAAAAUAACAGCAUGAUGAAUUUCAUUUGUUAGAAGAAGGGAAGUCCUGAAUUCAAAACCUUCAUUGUGAAUUGAGGCAUCAACUUUGGAUUUAAUGUUUAAUUUUGAAUUAUUUGCGGCAGAGAGCCUUCCAUUAGUCUUUUCAUGGAAUUUCUUUGGAACGAUAACUUCUUUGAUACAAUUUAAAUCAGCACCAAUGUCGAAAAGGGCAAUGGUAUCAAUUUCGAAGUCUUUUGAAAAUUUUAAGGUGAUUUUAAUCAAAUAUUUUCUAGUUGUAAUUUGCUUUAAAAAAAAAAAGAAAAUCAUUGGGGAUUGCUUCAAUGUUUUCGAGUUGUUGUUCAUUCUCUUCACCAGAGUUUGAUUCUUUAUCAGAAUUGUCUUCCAAUUGCUUUUGUAACAAAAGUUGGAUAGUCUCUGAGUCAUUCUUCUAUUUUUCUUUUAAUUCUUUAAUCUCAAUUUUAAUUUCUUUAAUCUCUUUUUGAAGAUCUUGGAUAUUUGGAGUUAUUUUCUUUGUUUUCUUUUUAUCCAAAAUUUCUGUAAGAUCAUAAGCAUUCUUCUUUAUGAUGGGAGUUUUAGAGGUUUUUGGUUUGUCUUUCAGAUCUAGAGUCUUUAAAAAUUUAUCAAGAUAUUCCUUUUGGAGGAUUGGGUCCGAAAUAUGUUUUACAAGUUCAAGAAAAGUUUCUUGUUCUCUAGUCAAAACAUUAAUCUUCUUUAGAAAGGUUUCUGAAUCGGAAUCACUUGAUAUAGAUGUAUCUGAGUCAAUCAAUUCAUCAACCUGUAAAGGGUCACUGUCUCCUGUCAAGGAGGUUUCUAAUUCUGGAUCAGAGUCAGAAGAUUCAAUGAGCAAAGGGGCUAUUUUAGAAAGUGUUUCGUCAUCAAGGCCAAGUUCAUGGAUCUUUCUGUUCAUUCUACAGAAUUUUGCAGUAUGGCCUUUUCUUCCAUAUUUAAAACAUGUGGCUUCUUUGUAAUUAAAAAAAGUUUUUGGUUUAGAAGAGAAAAAGGGCUUGGAUUUAAAAUCCUUUCUUUUAGAGAGAUGAGACUUCUUAUAAGGUCUCGAAGACUUCUUAUAAAAAGGUUCUCUAAAAGUUUUUGAAAAUUGUUUGUAAUUUUGACUGUUGGACUUGUAAUGUUUUUUAUAAGGUUUAGAGGAACACUUACCAUUACAGUCUUUUGAAGUGGAGGUUUUAAAGGGGUCGUAGUUGAAUUGUUUACAGAAACUGCCUAAUUCUUGCUUAGACUUCUUAAGCUCCCAUUUUAGACGUUUCUGUAAUUUUAAGUCUUGACAGAUCUUUAAACCUUCUUUUUUGACAAAACUGACUAGUUCACCAUAGGUGAGGUCGUCAUAAGGAAUUCGAUUGUCAUAAAGAGCUUUAAUAGAAUUUCUGACUUUUUCUCCUAAAAGAGUAGGUAAACCUGUAAGGAAUUUUUCCUUCCAAGUUACAUGAUUUGCAUCAUCUCUAAGAAAAAGUCUAGUAAAGAAAGUAGUUUUAUAAUUUUGAAAUUCACUAAGUUUCCUACAUCUCAAAUUAAUAUAGUAACUCAGCGUUUUUAUCCCGGAGGUGAGAAGGAUCACCUAUGAAGUGAAGAGAUAUGGUGAGAAUGAGGGUAGCAACAACAUCUUGAAUUGGAUUUUUGACCUCAUCAAGAAUAGGUAUUCCAUCUUCUUCAGUUUGGAUUGAAUUUAGGAUGUCAAGCUGUUGCUGUUUUGUGAGAAGAUGAUCCCACCAUCCUUUAAGUUGACCAGUAAACCCAGUAAUGAGAAUCUCUACAAUGGCUUUGUCAGAGGUUCCUUGUUGAGUUUUGUAGGCAUUAGCUGCCAUGGUCAUUUGUUGCAACAGACCUAAGAUAUUGUACUCAAACAUACCAUCAAUAUUCCAUUCAUAGACAGAGGAUGCAUUAAAACGAGAUUGGUUUAAUGCACUAGGUCUAUUAUCGAUGGCAAGGUCUGGAGGAGUUUUUGUAGUUGGGAGAGCAAGUUCCCAAUGGAUUUUAUUAGCUUUAGGUAUAGACUCAUCUUUGAAAGCUUCUAUUUCUGAGGAGGCUAUAGAAGAUUGAUCUUGUUCUAGUACACCAAUCUUGCUAGAUUGAGCACUAUCAAGAGCAAUUUGGAGUUUAGAAGUAGAAGCGAAAGAAGAAGAUGCUUCUAUUCUAUCAAGUUGUUCUUUAAUAGCUUGUGCAAAAUAUGAUUUGGUUUCUUGAACAAGCUUUUGACUAUGUUUCGAAACCUGAAAAGGUUUGAAAAUAGGUUCUUUAAGCUUUUUCAAGGAAUUAGACUUUGAUUGCGUAGAAGUAGGGACAAUAACGGUUGACUUCUGGAAUUGAUUUUCUAUACGAGUCAAUUGUUUUCCUAUUGUAUUUAGAUUAUUAUUACAGAAAUUAUUCUGCUGGAUAAUACUAUCUAAAUUUUUCUCAAUAUCGUUUGGUUUUUGAAUCUUAUAGGGUGAGGCUUUGAUUUGAACGGGUGGUUCACCAUGAUCAAUGGUAAUACUCCUUAGAGGAGGAUGCUCAGAUUCAAUGGUUCUAUCAGAGUCUGAUAGAUUCCAUCCAGUAAUUUUUUUACGAAUUGUGAUAGGGUUUGAUUCUUUAAAAGGGUAGGAAAUGUUAUUUUCCGAGGCAUAAAUAUCAAACCAAUCAAAAAAUAAUAUAUGAAUUUGAUGUAAGUUUACAAAUUCGUAAUAAACUUGUUGUAUUUCUUUUCUUUGGUUUAAGAAAUUUUUGAAAAACCAAAGUCUUUUUUCUUUAUUGGUGUUAGAAGAGUUUUAUCUAAUUCAAAAUCUUUUUUAAGGACAUUAAUAACAUUUUCUGUGAUUGCCGAAAAUGUAGGAGAAGUUGGAGGAGAAGGCUCCUUCUCUCCUUGUCUUUGUUCAUGUUGACGGCUAGUGUACACAGGGUGUGGAACACUAGUGGUAUAGUUAGCAGAGUGUAUAAAGGAACUAGGUAUAUCCGAAGUGGAAAACCUAGGUUGACUUUGAAAAGGAAGAUUUAUUAUGGAAGGAAGUUUUGAAAAUUUCCUUUCCAAGGAAGGAAUACUUGAGGAUGAGUCUUUAUCGGAGAAUCUGGAUGAAGUAGAUCUCCUAAAGGAUAAUUUUACUUUACCAUCAGAAUACUGAGUCACAUUUUGCAACUCUGUAUUAGGCUCAAGUUGUUUUGGAAUUACUGGGGCAGUGGCUCCUUCAAGAAUCCAUUCGUCUGGAAGAUUUACAUCUUUCCAAUGGAUUGGUUUUGGAAUAACAGUGUUGGCUUUAGACAGAUCAGUUUGUAAGAGAAGAGUCUCUUCUCUUUUUGACUGGAAUUUAUGUUGCGAACGCGGAAAUCAUCGCUUUGUAUGAGAUUUUAAAAUUAGAGCAACUGGGACAGAUCCCUCAAUCAUAUUGUAAUUAUGGGUUUUGAUCUGUAAGAUCAUGCUUUUCAGAAUGUUCUUGUCUUUUAAGAAAACUGUUAUGUUCGGGUAACAGUCAAAUGAUAUUGGUCCUUUACAGAGACUUGAUUCUAUACUACUUAGUAAAGAAUCAUCAAAAGAGAUGAAUCGUCUAUCUCUUAAGAUAGCGAGAAUAGAUGUGUCAAGUCCUUCUUUAGUCAAGGGUUUUAUUCCGACUUGUAUUAAACCGAUAUGAACAUAAUUAAAAUUUUUAUCUUUUAAUUUCUUUAAGGAAUUUUCUGAAAAUAAGUGGAUAGUUUCAAAAGGCUUUGAAAGGGUUAUAUCACAUUCUUCAGUUUUUAUAACAUAAUCAUUCUUUAGAAAAUCAAGUUUUUUGGUCUUAUAAAUCAUUUCUUUAGAAAUCUUUGGUAAUUCCCAAUUAUCAAUUGCUUUAUUAAAAUCUUCAAUAACAAAUUCUUCUGAAUUUACAACAUUCUUAGAAUCUUUAGUCUUCCCGGAAGAAGAGCUAGAAAAGGAAGAUGUUCUAUGAAAUAAAGAGUCCAUGUAUGCAGAAAUAAAAAUGACUUAGUUUUACAGGAAUGGCAAAUCAAUCCUAGGCUAAGAAUUGGUUUUAUUGCCCUUCAACUAAAUCGGGACUUAUGACCAAAAACUACCAAGGCACCAAGAAGGUCACACCAUCACCAUUCAAGCAAAGUUUCAACAAAAAAAUACUCCGUCACGCACAAAACUCUAUUCUAUAUAUCACUCUCCCCCCCCCCGCUCUGACACCCCAAAUAUAUAUAUAUAUAUAUAUAUAUAUAUAUAUAUAUAUAUAUAUAUAUAUAUAUAUAUAUAUAUAUAUAUAUAUAUAUAUAUAUAUAUAUAAAUAUAGAUAUAUAUUAAAGCAUCCUGUAUGGAUAAAGUUUGUCGACCAACAUUUUCAAGUUAGGACAAGUAAUAUGUUAGUAGUUACAUUAUAUUUACCUUGUGUUAUAACUAAUUUAAUUAUGCAGAAAAUGAGUCGUGUCAAUAAGAACACGAGAGCUUUGAACAAGUGCAAUCACCACCUUAGUCGAAAAAGAUACAUUGGAUUAAUGAAAGAAAUUGUAAUUGUGUUAAAUAUUUAAAUUGUUAAUGAAAUAAUUUAUAUAUCAGUUAAGUGUGUAAAUUUUUUGCUUUGUUAAAUAUUUAUUAAAGGUUUAGUUAACUAUUAAAUUUUUUAACAGUUAACUAGUCUAAUUUCUUUGUCAAAGUAAUGUGCAGAAUCAGGUCUUUUGGAAGAGUUAACUGACAAGAGUGAACUAUGGAAGAGAGCUCGGAUGCCAAAGAAUGGAGGAUACGACUUUGAAACCAAACGGAUCAUUAAGAAAAUGGUAAUCAAGUUUAACUAGAACAAGCAUUGUUAUGACAUUAGAUCUAUGCUCAUUUAAUAAUAUUAGUUUCUUUAUGGUGGGCUAUUAGGAAAUGCUAGAGAAGGGAGGACAAAAAGACUCAUUCAAUUCCGAUGCAAGAAAUGACUUACUUGCACAAGCAUUGGGAAAGCUUCCUUGAACUGGUCAUAUGCAAGGCUUGGGCAAAUUUAUUUAUCCUUCUAUGUACUUUCACUGCCUGCGUGGACCCAUCCAAAAUGAGAGAGAGGGGGAGCUGGAUGCUUGGAAAAAAUCAGUAGAUGAACAGUUGUUAGAAAUUUCCAAAGAAUUGAAGAGGACACCUCGCCAUUUAGAUAUUUGAAGUUCCACUUUCCCACAUAAUAUGGUCGAUGAUGACAGUGAGGGAGAUGUUCAUAAGGUGCUUUAGUUAUCUAUGUUACCCAAAUAUUUCCUAGUUUAAGUAUUUUUCCUUGUAUAUCUUCCACUCAUUAGAGUUUAAUUUAUUUACUAUUUGUCGAUAAUGCUGACAGGAACUGGAUAAUUUAGGGAAGUCGGCUGUGAAGAAGAGGAAAUGGAUGUCUGGUCAAAGGGACGAACAUCCUAAAGUAUCAACACUAAGAAAGAAGGAAGAAGUUCGGAAGAAAGAAGAGACACUAAAAACUAAAACUACUGUCAUUCCGAUGAAGCCAAAAAUGAUGACAGUGAAAAUGACAGUGAAAGAGAUGCACAUAAGGUUAGUUUAUUCAUAAUAAAUGGUUGUAUUUUUCCUAGAUUAUGAUUUAUUGUCUUGUAUAUUUACUAUUCAAUCUAGUUUAAUAUACUUACUAUUUCAUAUAAUUAAUCUUCAUAGGAGGUAGAUAAUUUGGGCAAGCCACCAGCAAAUAUCGCUGCUACCAUUCCGUUGAAGUGAACAAAAAAUGAAGGCAGUCAAAGAGAUGUGCACAAGAUUAGUUAAUAAAAUUAACUAUAUUUAAGUUGUUUUUGUCUUUGUAUGUGAGAUUUCUUUUUUUUUCUGCCUAAUUGUUUUAAUUAAUAUAACUAUACAAGUCAAGUACAAUGUUUAAAACAAGGGCCAAGUUGCACAAGCUAGCUUUGCAGCCACAACAUAUUUAUAUAUAUUGUUGCAUACUCUCUCUCUCUCUCUCUCUCUCUUUCUAUAUAUAUAUAUAUAUUGCUGCAUACUAUAUAUAUGUGUGUGCGCGUCUUAUUAGAAUUAAUUUUAAAAAUGCAAUUGCAAAUCACCCAGUGAAAUGUGUGUGGCCCAUUUUUAAAAAAAAAUCAUUGGCAUUAAUGCUUGAAUUAUUCUUAGGAGUGAAAAGAAACUUAUAUUUACUUACAAUUUCAUAUCAUUAACAUCCACAGGAGCCAGAUGAUUUGGGGAAGCCACCAAAAAACACUACUGCUGCCAUUUUGAGGAAAAGUCCAAGACUUAAUCCUUCAAUCCCAAAGGAUUAUGCAAAUGAUGAGAGGAAAAUAGUUGAAAGCAGUAACAAGCAAUUGGAUUUUUGAUUGUGUUGAUGGUACAAACUGAUGGUAUACAGGAGAUGCAUCCUGACAANNNNNNNNNNNNNNNNNNNNNNNNNNNNNNNNNNNNNNNNNNNNNNNNNNNNNNNNNNNNNNNNNNNNNNNNNNNNNNNNNNNNNNNNNNNNNNNNNNNNAGUUGGUUUGCCCACAAAUCCAAAGGCUGUAGAAAAAUUUCGCUCAAAGAGAGUUGAGCAUAUUCACGACCGCUUGAAAAAAGCCAAAAACGGAAAACUCAUUCUCAUGCCAUACAAUCCUUCAUAAGUUUGAAUUUUCAUUUAAAACUUUUACAGUUGUUUCUGAAUUUAUAGUACUUUUACAACUGUUUGUUAAUUCAUGGUUUUGUUUUCUGCUUUUUUUCCAACUGCCUUCUCUGUCUUGUAGCUACCAUUGGGUUUUAGUUGUGUUUGACGUGGUGAAAAAGGAAGUGUUUUAUGUGGAUCCUGUGCAAUCAAGUCCUUAUAUUGAUUUAGAACAACUCCUUAAAAUGUAUGUAUGCCAAUCUAUUUCAUGCAAUUGAUAUUUUAAGUUUUUUUCAAUAUAAUUAAGAGAUAACAGUUUACUUUUUUUUUUAUAGCACCAUGACCCUCUUCACAACAGAGGAUAGUAAGAAAAAUUGGCAUUAUAAUUCUAAGAUGAGAAUUGUGAAGGUAUAAAAAAAAGUAACCCUACAGAAACUAUAUGCGCUAUCGAUUACAUAACUAAAAUGGAUGAGAUUUUGUAAGUUUUUUUUUGUGUGUGGCAUGAACAAGCUCCGAAACAAAAUACAUUAAAAUUGCAAUGUGGCUAUUAUGUGUUAAGGUACAUGAAGGUAAUAAUAGCAUAUGUUAGUUUGUUAAUGAACAAUGUAAGUUGAUGAUGACAUUUAGUUUGUUAAUGAAAAAUGUAAGUUGAUGAUGACAUUUCUUAACUUUCUUUUAUUCCAUAUACGUGAUAUUAUUUUUGAAGUUUGACAUCUUAAUAAUCUUGUGAUUAACAGGUUAAUGGAAAGAAUGUACACACUCAAGACGAAUUAAAUGAGGUUCGUUUGGAGUGGGCUAACCAUUUCUCUGACAUCCUUGUUGCAUCAGUAAAAUGGUUAGUAUGAGUAUGAAACUAUAAAUAUUAGUUGUAAAAAUUUAUUGAAAUUAAAGUUAUAGUGUCAAAUUAUAAUGGUUACUGUUACCGAAUUGUAGUGUGCAUGUUUUGCAUUCGAUAACAUUGGGUAUUUUGAUUGAUUCUGAAUAGAUUGGUUUGCUAGGUUUGGGUUGGAGUGUUGCUAGGUAUGUGGCUGGAAUACCAGUGGUGUGGAAAGAUGCUGAGUUGGAAGAUGUUGGGUUGCUGCUGAAUGUGUGUUGGGAGAGUUGUUGGGUAAGUGGCUAUUGGAAUAUUGCCGUUAGAAGAUGUAUUACUGUUGGAGGUUUUGUUGGCUUGGUGGUUGGAAUUUGACUUGCUUUUCUUGUAGUUUAAAUGGAUGAAUGUGUUUUUAUUUUUUUAAUUUGGGAUGUUGAUUAUAUAUGUAUUGGUAGUGAUGACAAUAUUAGAUACUAGAUGUAUUUAUUUUGAAAUUAACUUAUUGGAAUGAAUGAAUGUUAAUUAAUAUUAAUUGUUUUUAUUUUUUUCAUGAUGCUCAUUUUUAUUCAUUAAUUAAAUUUGUAAACAUGAAUACAAAAAUUAAUUAUAAUCGUAAUUUUUUUAAAAAAUUUAACUUUAUGAUGGGAAAUUCCCAUCAUAAAGUCUGUCAUAACAAUUUCCCGCCAAAAAAAAUAAUAAUAAAUUAACAAAUGAUAACAUAAUUUCCCGCCAAACCUUAAUAAUAAAUUUAGCAAUGACAAUAAAAUUUCCCACCAAAAUUUAAAAAUUUGGCGCGAAAUUUUAAAUAAAUUCAAAUUUUAAUUUAAUUAUAUUUUCACAUUAAAGUAUUGUUUGACGAAUAUAUGACUGUAAAAUACCAUCGUUAAUUCAUGACGGCAAAUAUUCUGUCAUAAAUUAAUAACAGUGACAUAGAUGACAUAUGAAUCGUCUAUCAUGAACUCUCUUUUAUAACAGUUAUUUCCUAUCAUUUAUUGCAUGUUUUCUUGUAGUGACCCAAAAAAUAUGGUUUACGAAUUUAAGAAAUCCAUCUACAGACUUAAGUAAGCAUCUUGACAAUAGUAUUUCAAGUUUCAUCAAGUGAUCUUAUUUGGUUUUGAGGUGAGUUUGGUCGAAGAGGGCAUAUAUCAUAAGCCCUGUAAGAGUAGUAUACUUUUCUGGUUUUAUAUGUCAAUGACAUUUUGCUUGUCGGCAACGAUAUAGGCUUAUUGCACAACACCAAGAGAUUUCUAGUUAAGAAUUUUGUGAAUGUAUUUUUGCAAAUUCUCACCCUAUUAAAGAUCUCAUGACACCCAAAAGGGAAAAAAAGUUAGAAAAAAGGUACUGCUAUUUACAGUUAUUAUAUUUUCGAUACUC